GGUUUUCUUCCACUGGUUGAAAGCGCUUGUCAUUUUGUCGUAAAGAUUCUUCGAGAAUCAUGAAUCGUUUUGCCUCUUUUUGUUGUUUUGAGCUGUGGAUUUUGAAUUAGCAUCUCUGGUUUCAGAGGUCUUGUUAUAUCUAUGGGUCGUGGAAACAGCUGUGGUGGAGGUCAAAGCUCACUCAAUUAUCUCUUUGGUGGUGGUGGUGAUGCUCCUCCUCCUAAACCCGCUCCAGCUCCUUCUGCUGAACCAACCAACACUGCUGCUGCACCAGCACAAGCACCUGUAGCUGUGACUGCAACUGCUCUCACCACCGCUACUACCAGCGUUGAGCCUGCAGAGGUCAACAAGCAGAUCCCUGCUGGUAUCAAAACUCCUGUUAACAACUAUGCUCGAGCUGAAGGGCAAAACACCGGAAACUUCCUCACUGUAUGUUUUUGAUUUUGUCUCCUCUUUGAAUGAUAUGUUACUCUCUCUCUGAAAUGGUUCCCUUUGCAGGACCGUCCUUCGACCAAAGUCCAUGCAGCUCCUGGAGGUGGAUCAUCCUUGGAUUAUCUUUUCACUGGUGGCAAGUAAAGUAUAAUAAAAACAUUAUGUGUAAUGCAAAUGCGUAUCCAUUGUCUCCUUGUUGCAUUCGCACACUAUAAAAACUGUUUGAUGUGAGCCCAGCCUUUAAUGAUAAGAAGUCGGUUUCUUGUCAAUCUAUCUCAGUCCUGUUUCUCUUGUAAUGUUCUGAUGAAAAGUGUUCCAAAUAGUCCGAAUCAAGAAAAAGCUUGCAAGUUCUCUUGUUGCCCAACUCUGUGACUUUUAGAUCCGACUCACCUAUAAGAUUCGUAGGGAGGGUGAAGAGAGUGUGCCACAAGUCGUGAACUUUACGUGUCCGCCCGUGUUACUACGUAAGCCGGCUCAUGUGUCUCCAUGAAUCUUAGGGGCGGAAGGGAGAGAAGUUUCUAGGUCCCAUGACUCUUGCAUAUGCAGCUCCAAAUUUGUUGUCGGGUAGAUCCCAAGCAUGGCCUACUUGUUCUGACACAACACGAGGACGCUUCAGCAGCAUAGUCUGCAGAGAAAAACCAAGAAAGAAAACACUCAUUGUAAUUAACUUCUUGGAAACAAAGACAAAUCAUUUAUACAAAACCAACAAAGAAACAUCAACUUUGAAAACUCGAACAUGCCAGCAGAUCCCAUUGCCACCACCGCUUUAAAAUAAACAAAGUCUCUUUUAAAAAAAACAUUUCAUAAGACGCAGCAUAUUGGUUUAUCAGAAACAAAUAAGUUUAUGGACUAAGAUUAAUAAACAGAAUGAAGAAAUGUCAAUGCGUCAUGCAGCAACAAUAGAGAUACUAACAUGGAGACAGCUCGACUCUAUAAUACCACUCAAUUAGAAAGGAUUUUAGCUAUUGUGUUAGAGGUCUUCGGUUUGAGUAACUGUCGGGAUAAAACUAAUAUUUUGUAUUGUGGUUUUGAGAAUGGAAAAAUUACGGGUUUUGACCUCAAACCUUCUCAUAUAUUCUUUUUUUUUUUUUAGCAAACCUUCUGAUAUAUUCAAAAUAAGAAACUCCGCCAUAUAAAAUUGGUAAAGCAGAUAUAAGGGGAAUGAUGUGGUUCACAAGUGACUUGGAUUAUUCGAGGUCCAGAAGGUUACUGCUUAGGAGCUGGAAAGAGAUAAAGGAAUCAGUGUAUGACAUCUGUAGAAGCAGAAUUAAGUUCUACUAAUAGCAAUCCAACACACAAAGAAAAAAAAUCCAUCGCACAAAGAGUGUAAGACAAAAUAAAUCAAUAAAAAUUGUAAUUCAACUUAAAAAAUAUGGAAUUUUUCUUUGAUGUUGCAUUAAGUGCUGAGUUAACUAUUUUACAACGAGUAGAAGUCAAAAUAGCAACGCAACUACAAAUCUAGGGUUGGCUGCCUGAACCCCCCUGCAGACUUGCACACUCUAUCUAUUCCCACCCAAACUUCUUGGCUCUUGACUAAUCCACCCAGAAAUAUGAAUUCUCUUCAUAUCUCCCCCCAAACAUUUUUAAUCCCCCUUUCUAAUCAAUUUCAAAAUCGAAAUUAGAGAUAAAUUAAUUGCGUUUUGUAAAUUGUGAUUGCCCAAUUAAAACAAAGCCCGACCCGAGAUUAAAAAUAAAACCCGACCCGAGUUAACUUACAAAAAAGUGAAUUGGAGAUCAAAUUGAAAUUAGGUUACUUGUCUCUGUUUCACGACAGAAACGAAGAACAUGACAGAGAAAGAGAGAGAGAGACAGAAACUACAGCCUACUCAAUCUACUCAAGCUCAAGAUUAGUGGCUCUUUUAUUGUAGUUUACAACUCUAUUUUCAUGUCUUUUAUGGCUUUUGUUGUUCUUUCAAACUCUAAAUGAAUGUACUUUUGUGGCUUUUGUUGUUCUUUAAAACCUGUUUUGUUUUGUUUCUGUUCUUUAUCUUACGUUUGUGUGCAUAAACAAGUAACACUAGUGUUUCAAAAAAACAAGUAACACUCAUGUUUUAAACUCAAGCAUAACCAAGCAUAAAGAACAUGAUAAUCUCAGUUACGGAAACACAUAAGAACAUAAUCUUGACACUGAAAAGAUAAGAUAAGAACAUAAUAGAAAUUGAUCAUCUCAGUUCCUCUUCGUUGUCUCUCUCGCUCUCUCUGUUCCUCGUCUAAAAAACAUGAUCAUCUCAGUUCCUCUUCGUUGUCUCUCUUGCUCUCACUGUUCCUCGUCAUUGUCGUCGUGUCUUUAUGUUCUCGUCGUCGUCUUUCUAUGUUCUCGUCGGCGUCGUGUCUCUCUGUUCCCGUCGUCCUCAUGUCUCUCUGUUCCCGUCGUCGUCGUCGUGUCCGUCGUCGUCGUGUCUCUCUGUUCCCGUCGUCGUCUGUGUGUUCUUCAUCGUGUAUCUGUGUGUUCUUCAUCGUGUAUCUGUGUGUUCUUCGUCGUGUCUCUGUGUGUUCAUCGUUCCUCACUGUCUCUCUCUCCGACAUUAUCUUCUCUCUCCUCUGUAUUCUCUUUUUUCUUUCUCUGUCAUGUUCUUUGUUUGUGUCGUGAAACAGACACAUGAAACCUAAUUUCAAUUUGAUCUCCAAUUCCUUUUUUUUUUUUUUGUAAGUUAACUCGGGUCGGGUUUUAUUUUUAAUCUCGGGUCAGGCUUUGUUUUAAUUGGACAAUCGCAAUUUACAAAACGCAAUGAAUUUAUCUCUAAUUUCGAUUUCGAAAUUGAUUAGGGAGGGGGAUUAAAAAAGUUUGGGGGGAGAUAUGAAGAGAAUUCAUAUUUCUGGGUGUAUUGGUUAGGUAGGGUGUGCAAGUCUUCAGGGGGUUAUAGGCAGCCAACCCACAAAUCUACAACACAUGAUAAAUCAAAUUAUAUAUUUUAAAAAAAAACUAAUACAUGGUAACGUUUUUGAGUUAUUAAUGAAUUAGACUUCUAAGUCAUACUAAAUCUUUGUUCAAAAAAAAAGUCAUACUAAAUCAACAACACCAUGUGUUCUUAAUCAAAACCAUAAUGUCAUAUUUGAAUGUGACAGUAAGACGGUAGUUAAACUCAUUGAAAAUGAAAGCAUGACUUUGGAUAGGGCCGGACAAAUAAACCGAACCCGAAAACCCGAACUGAAUCCGAACCGAUCCAAACCUAACAUAAAAACUGACUGGAUCUUAUUUUAUGGUAUUUUGGAUUAUGGGUAUUAUCCGAACCAAACUCGAACGUAAAUGGAUAUCCGAUAGAACUCGAAACAUUUAAAAUCGCAAAAAAGAACUUGUACUAAACAUGAUUUCAGUUCCUAAUAUGUAUCUAAAAUAUACUAAAAUAUUAUUUAGCAUCUAAAAUAAUUGUUUAACACAUGAAGUUUGAUGGUUGAAGGUGGCGGUCGAAGCUCAAAAUUUUUAGAUUUUGAUUUUUUUUUCAUUGAAUAAUGUUUCUCAUUUCAUGAGAACUUGGUUUUCGCUCUAUGAUUUCAUUUAUUUGGUUUUCUUUUUUAUCAAUAACUAUGUUUACCUUUUGUUAAAUUUUGAAUAAUCACGUGAUGUUCUUUUCUUAUUUUUUGAAUCGAUUUACUUAUGUUUUGGAUACAAAAUAGGUACAAAUAAGGUAUUUUAAAACCGAAGAACUAAUUUUACUUAUGUUUUGGUUACAAAAUAGGUAUAAAUCAUGUACUUUUAAACCAAAAAACCGAUUGAAAUCCAAACUCAAAAACACAUCGGGUUGUACUGGUUCUUUGAAGAUUUACUAACCCUGAUCCGAAUCCUAUAAAACCCGAACCAAACUUUCAUAUAACUGGAAUGAGGCUGAUUUUGAUAAACCAAAAAAAACUAAAACCCGACUUGACAAAACCAAAAUCCGAUUGGGACUCCGAAGCCCAUGUCUAACUUUGGAUAUUCCAAUUCUAUGUUUUUCAAUGUAUUUUCUGUCUUCCUCAUUUUGAUUAUAUUUAAAAUUUAAAUUUAAAUUCAAUUUAUGUCUCAUUGUAUAUUCUCUCUUCUUCAUUUAGAUCAUAUUCAAGUGUUUAAAAUUCACUUUUCAAAUUUUGUCAACUUUUUUCUUAUUAAAGUUUAAUACGUUAGUUUUUCUCAAAUUUUCAUGCAUUGCAAAUGUAUAUUAGAUUAAAUAUUUCAUGCCUUUUACGCCAAGUUCAACACGACGUAAAAAAAGUUUAUGCACCUAAAUAAGAGUGGAAUAAACUGACCUUUUCAUCCCUAAUUAACAUUUGCAGUUCCACUUAGUUAAGUUGACCUUUAUUUCUUUCAAUCUUCAUGAUGCAAUUAUUUGUAGAAAAGCUAAUUUUUUGGCUAUUAGCUUAUUGGAUUCCUAGCUUAUUACACACAAUUUCUCAUAGGUUAAUUAAUUGCUUGGGCGAUGCCGUGUACCUGCGGGAAUCACAUAUUGGCAGUAAUAUGUUGACAUGUCUAUCAAGGUACGUGAUGUAUGUACUUAUGACUGUUUCUUUGAAGAAAGAUUUACACUUUAAGGCACAUUUCAUCUUUAUAUUACACGCUGGGACACUUCUAUCUACAAGGACACUUUUUCUUAAACAUCAGCUGAUUCUUAAUCUAUCUAGUUUGAUUGUAAUGACUAUUUCACUAACUAAAAAAUCAAUGUUUUUCGUUUUGGUGGGCUGUAUUCUUGGCCAUUGAUUUUAUUUAGAUUGAAGGGACUAGAUUCAUUAGACAAAAAUGUGAUAUGACAUAUAUCUACCAUAUAAAUCUAACCAUUAGAUCAUUUGAUAUCCAACCAAAAUUGAUGGCUCAGAUUGCAUCUUCUACCAACCACAAAUAGUUUUCACUCUCUUCCUCCACAUCUGAAAGGAUUUUACAGACUAAAAUUUCAAGAUAGAAACAAAGCAAAUCUUUGACCAAAAAAAAAAAAAAAAAAAAAAAAAAAGAAACAAAGCAAAUCUCAAAACAGUCAUUAUCAGAAAACUUUGUAUCCUUUCAGAUUCAUUUAUAUUUUAUCUCAACAACAUAUUUUCCGCUUAAACCCUCGAUGAUGGUGACGAUGACUGGUGACGACGAGGCAGGCAAAGCUGAUGCAGACAACGGCGGAGAAGCCGUCUCCCGACUUUAACAAGGCUCGAGAAUUGUGACAGGUACAAAGUUCGAGAGUUGUAAAUGUUCAUAAUUACGUCUUAGAUUUCAAGUUGUUCUCUUUGGUUUGGUAGGAUACAGUAGUGCCCAUUAUGUGUUUGGUUGUUUGACUUGUGAAACAACGUUGAAAGUUAAAUCAAUUCCUUGUUCUUUUGUUUGGUCGUUUUACUUAAAAUUUUGUUAACUUUCAGUUUUGAUGUUUUGGCCUCACAAGAUAAUUUAUGUAUCUUAUACAAGUGUUUGAUUAUGCUUUGUAUUUUGAAAACUUGGCCUCUAUACAGUAGUUUUAUUAUGUUUUAUCUUGUAAUUGCUUGAUCCUUUUACACUAAAAAUAUGUCCAUAUUCUCCUGAGAAGAGUGUAUGAGAUUAGAUGAUUAAUUUCAGUUUUGGAGUAUUUAUGUAGUUUGAGUAAAGUGCUAGUUGCCAUUGAUAAUGAAAUUGGUCAUAUUAUGCUAAGGCAUUCAUUUGAUUUUGAUUAUACAGUAUAAUCUACAUCAAAUUAAAGGUGGAUUAUUUAGCUUUCACGUCCGGUGAACUCUCCAUUCACUGAAAGCAGGAAUUUCUCAUCCCACCAAACUUGCUGAUGUCCAUCAACAAGAGUAUCCACAUGUACAUUCACUCUAGGGACAAGCUUCCCCAUCCAUUUGUACACCUUCUGAUAUCAGUAACUUGAGAUCCCCUAUCUCUUUGAGGACACACCUUAUGAAGCCGAUGAAAUCUCAGAUGUGGAUAUUUAUGGAAACAAAGAUUUCUCAAGUCACAUAUAUUCUACAAAGAUUUUUCUUUCAUAUUUUAUUUGUUUUGUUUGCUUGUCUAUGUAAAAGUUUCCAAUUUGCUUCAUAAAUUAUAAGUUGCUAUAGUUGUUUAUUGUUGUACACAACACAUGUUUUUUCCAUUUUUGUAUACAUGAAAUUUGAGUUGUUAGUAACUAUUAUUUUACUGAAGUUUACACAAUUAUCUUGAGUUUUUCAUAUGUCCACACAUGUACGCAUGUACAAAUAUAACUUUCAGGUACACAUGGACAUCAUAUAAGGUAUACAUAUUUAACUAUGUAUAUCAUAAACCUGUAAAAGAUAGUUUUAUAUGUUAUUCGAUGGUUUUAUAUGCCAUUUCAUCAUGCACAUGUUUUAUCUCGUAUCCAAAAUAUGAUUUUAUGUCAUAUCAUGCCUGCCAAAAAUGGUUUUUCUUUCACAGAUAUGUUUGUUUGCUUGCUUGUGUAUGGAAAUGUUUUUAAUUGGUUUCAUAGAUUUAAGUUAUUCUAUUUAUUGUUGUACAUAACACAUGUUCUUUUCCUCUUUUUUAUACAUAUAAUUUGAGUUUUUGUCAGUAACUAUUAUAUUACUGAAAUUUAAACAGAGUUAAUAACAUGUUAAAAAAUAGUUUACACAAUUAUCUUGAGUUUGUCAUAUGUCCACACAAACAUGUACACUAAAUUUCAGGUACACAUGGACAUCAUUUUAAUUUUUCAUAUUUUACCAAGCCUACAAAAGAUGGUUUUUCUUUGUUUGUUUGCUUAUCUACGUAAACGUUUUAUUUUUCUUUGUAGAUGUCAAGUUUUUCUAUUUAUUGUUGUAUAGAACACAUGUAUGCUUUCAUUUUUUACACUUUAUUUUUGAGUUUUUAUCAGUAAUUCUUAUAUUAAUGAAUUUUUUUUAAAAGUUAAAUAACUAUCUAAGAGACUCAUUUACAUGUCAUUACUCAUUAGUAUCCAUGUGUACAAGUACCUGUAAAAGAAAACAUGAACAUGAUGUACACUAUCGUUAGUAUCCAUGUAUACAAUAUUUUAACGUGUACACAAGUCCACCAUGCACACAUCUAUUCUGUUACAACCAGAACCCAAAACUACAUAUCUCUUGGUCGUUCUUGACAUCUAAUCGGGGCAGGAGUACAUACUUUCAACUUUUGGUGCAAAUUCAAAAGGUUAAAGGUCACAUUUGGUAAGUCUUGUUUCAAAACCAAAGACAACAAAAUAAGAGCGACCAACAUUCUUAACUAGUUAUUACAUCUAAUAUGUAAUGCAGAAAUAUAAAACCUUUGAUAUGCAACAUUCUUAACCAAUUAAGCUGAAUGAUGAAUUAAAGUUAAGCUUAACCAUUUCUUAUCAAGAUUAUGUUGCCUAAAUUACAAGUUCACCAUCGUGUACAUAUGUUUACUUAGAGCAGAAACUAAACUACUAGUCCACCAUUGUGUAUAUAUGUAACAUAUACACAACUAAUCGUUGUACACAUGUGAACAUAUGUACAUGUGUACAUAUAUACACAAGUAAUUGUUGUACACAUAUAUACAUGUACAUAUGUUCACAUUUUCAUGUUCUACCUUUUGUGUGAUCUUUAGUAAAUCUUGAUUUUCAUUAAUAUCUAAUUACUUUUAUGCAAAUCGUCAUUAAUCUUACAAUUCACAUUAAUCAUUUUUUUUACUUUUUUUUUCAUUGAUGGCAAAGUUGUAAUCAACUCAUCUUCUCCUUCAUGACUUGCUUUAGGGUUUCUGCAAAAUUCCACCGCCGUCAACCAUUGUUUCAUCUUAAAUCAUCCAAUUUUUGUGUGAAGGUCUAGGCUGAACAAUUAAAAAACAUGGAGUCAAUCUGAAAUGGUAUAUUGCUAUUCAGAAUCGCGGCGGAGAUGAAGAGAUCGCGGCUUGAUUUCAUGCUGAGAGAGAGGCUCUGAGGUCGCGGCUUCUGGUGAUAACAGAAGAGCGGUUCACGGCUUGCAGAACACGACGGAGGGGACGAUGCAGCGUGGAAUGAGCAGGAGAAACCCUAAUCUGAGCCAAUAUGGAAACAUAUUAAAACUCUCUAUCAGAUUUCUCUUUUCCUGCUCGCUUCUUGCCGUCAUUGUUUGAUUCGCCUGAAUCCUCCAUUAAAUCGUCGGACGUCAGCAACUUCGUCCGUCGAUUUCUCUCCCGGAAACGCACUUUCAGUUUAUGAAAGAGAAAUGAAAAAUAAUGGAAACUAAUUUUUUAGGGGACCUAAGUUUGUUUAUUAAACAAAUUAAACUUCUUCUCGAGACCACACUACAAGAAAACAUCGGGAUACUGAGGGAAAAAAUCGUCGGUAUGUCGUCGGAAUAACGUUAUUCCGAGGACAUACCGACGAAAAAAGUCCUCGGAAAUAACUCCUCGGAAAUUCAUAAUUCCUCGGAAUUCCGUCGGAAUUUUCCGACGGAAUUCCGAGGAAACAAAAUUCCGAGGAAACUCCGAGGACACAAUGUUCGUCGGAAGGUUCCUCGGAAAAUACCGAAGGAAUUCCGAUGGUCCAAUCCUCGGAAGUUUCGACGAAAUAUUUCUCGGAAUAUUUAUCGGAAAAUUCCGAGGGAAGAAAGUUCCUCGGAAAAUUCCGAGGAACAUUUGUUCCUCGGAAAAUUCCGAGGAACAUUUGUUCCUCGGACAUUUCCGAGGAACUUUCUUCCCUCGGAAUUUUCCGAGGGAAUUGAGUUUCUCGGAAAAUUCCGAGGAACCCUUUCCCUCAGACAAUUCCGAGGAACUUAAUGUUCGUCGGAAUUUACCGAGGGAUAAAAGUUCCUCGGAAUUAUCCGAGGACCUCCAUUCCCUCGGAAUUUUGAAAAAAAUUAUUUUUUUAAAAAAUUUAUUUUUUUAAAAAUUAUUUUUUUUUGGAAAAAAAUUAAAAUUUUUAAAAUUUAAAAUUAAAAUUGAAUAAAACAUAAAAUAAAACAUAGUAGAUAAUAUUCAAAUUUAAAUAAAACAUUCAGAGUUUUUGGAAAAAAAAAAACUACGGGUCUUGAAUGUUCGGGAACGUCUCGUUCGGGUACAUCCUCUUCAUCAUGUCCAUCAUCUGCUCGUUCAGCCUCUUCUGGGUCUCAUAGCCCGCCUGUUGAGCUGCCAUCUGAGCCUCCAACGCAGAUAUCCGAUCAUCCUUGUCCUUCAGCUGAGCCGUAAGAACUUCUGGAUCAACAUACGCAUGUGGUGCAGAAGAAGGAGCAGCCGACCGGGAGCGACGACCCAAACCGACCAAACGUCCCUUUUUCUUUGGAACCGACUGAAAUAUAAAUAAAACGAAGUUAAGAUAAUUUAAAUUGAUGAUAAAAUAAAAAUCAAGAAAUAAUUAAAUUGAACUUUUAAAAAAAAAAACUUACCGAUUCAACGAUUUCGUUGAUUCGAACCCGAGACAAGUUGGUCGAGGCCGUCGAAUCGUCAUCAUCGGUUUGAAGCUGAGACACUUCGUCAUACACCUGAGUCUGGACCAGGUCGACCACGUCCCUCACAAGACCAUCAUCAAUCUGGCCGGUCUUCUUGUUGGUAUACGCCCUUUUCAUAAGGGCGAGAUCAUCAACUGGGUGGCCUUCAUUUUCUUCCGCCUUGAAAAAAAAUAAAUUAGACAAACAUUAGAGAUUUGAAAAUGCAAAAAAAAUAAAAUUCUGAAACUUAAAUAAUUGAAGAAAAAGCGGUUGAGCUUACCAUGCGAUCCGCCAGAGUGGCAAUAGAUUGAGCACCCAAGUUAUGCUUGUAGAUGCCCUUUCCUUUACGGUCGCUCCUGCGGUUGUUGGAGUUGGUGGAAGAAGUUUCUUUCGUCUCUUCUUUAUCCCAAUGCGCACACAACUCCUUCCAGACCGUGCCGUUCAUCGACUUUGGGACCUUUUAAUUUAAAAAAAAAAAAGUUUAAUAAUUUUAAAAAUAGUUUAAUAAAUUAAAAAUUGUUAAUAAAUUAAAAACUACCUUGUUUACUUCCCAUUUCUUCUUCCACUCGUACAUCUGCUUCCCAUAGUUGUCCAUAACUUUAUGGACAAAAUGGUGAUAGAUAGAGAGCGUAUCAUCGGCAUUCCAGUUGAAUUCUUGCUGAAAUAGUUUAAAAAUAGUUUUUAAGCACAAAAAUAUAAUAGUUUAAAAAUUACAAAAAUCGUCGUUUUAAUAAAUAAAAAAUAGUUUAAUAAUUAAAAAAAUAAUUUAAUAAUUACAAAAAUAAGUUUUAAUAAUAUUUAAAAUGUCUAAUAAAUAUAUAAAUUAGUUUAAUAAUUACAAAAAUAAGUUUUAAUAAUAUUUAAAAUGUCUAAUAAAUAUAGAAAAUAGUUUAAUAAUUACAAAAAAUAGUUUUAAUAAUAUAAAAAAUAUAAUUUAAAAAUUAGAAUACUUACCGCAAACUGCUGAAACCACAGAUGCUGCUUCUCGACAGGGAAGUGAGUGAAAGUCGGAUGUCCGCUGUCGAGGGCCGAGUACAUCAUACGGUUGAUCCAUGCGCUGAUCCCGUUCCCGGAUCGGUUGAACCUAACAAAAAAAAAGAAAUUAUUAAUAAAAAAAUAGUUUAAAAAUUAAAAAUAGUUUAAAAAAUAAAAGUUUAAAUUACCAUGUUUGACCAUGUCCAUGUGGAUACUCAGUGAGAUAGGGAAGAUGGUCACGACCGGGCUGUCGAACCAACUCCGCAACCCUCAUCACUCCCAGAGGACCAGGUGCAGCAGCGGGACCAGGAGCGGGUGCAGCAGCGGGACCAGGAGCGGGUGCAGCAGCGGGAGAGGGAGCAGCAGGAGCGAGUAAUGGAGAGGGAGAUGUUUGGUAUGAGCUGUGGGGCGAAACGGAAUCCUGAACAUGGCUGGAAGAACCCCGAGACUGGCUCCCCAUACCACCCCGGCUACGACGCUGGCGAGGCCGGAUCUGAUCAUCAUUAGACCUGUAAAUUAAAAAAAAACAUAUUUAAAAAUUAGUUCUAAUAAUUUUAAUUAAAAAAAACAGUUUAAAUUAAAAAUAGUUUAAAAACAUAGUUUUUAAUCACAAAAAUAUAAAUAGUUUAAUAAUUAAUAAAAAAAGUUUUAAUAAAUAAAAAAUACUUUAAAAAUUUUAAAAAUGUUUAAUAAAUAUAUAAAUUUAUAUUUUACAUAUAAAAUACAAAAAAAAUGUUUUUAAAUAUUAUAUAAAUGAUUUUUAAUCUUAAAAAAGUUUUAUAGAUUUUAAAAAUGUUUAAUAAAUUUAUAAAUCAUUUUUAAUUACAAAAAAAGUUUUAAUAAAUAAAAAAUAGUUUAAAAAUUUUAAAAAUGUUUAAUAAAUAUAUAAAUUUAUAUUUUACAUAUAAAAUACAAAAAAAUGUUUUUAAAUAUUAUAUAAAUGAUUUUUAAUCUUAAAAAAGUUUUAUAGAUUUUAAAAAUGUUUAAUAAAUUUAUAAAUCAUUUUUAAUUACAAAAAAAAGUUUUAAUAAAUAAAAAAUAGUUUAAAAAUUUUAAAAAUGUUUAAUAAAUAUAUAAAUUUAUAUUUUACAUAUAAAAUACAAAAAAAAUGUUUUUAAAUAUUAUAUAAAUGAUUUUUAAUCUUAAAAAAAGUUUUAUAGAUUUUAAAAAUGUUUAAUAAAUUUAUAAAUGAAUUUAAAAUGCAAAAAUAGAUUUUAUAUACAAAAAACGUUUUCAAUAUAUAUAUAUAUAAUUUCAAAUUCGAUUUUUAUAACCACAAAAUUGAUAAAAACUAAAAAAAAAAUUCAAAUCAAGUGAAAUACACCCUAACAAAAUCUAUAAAUCUCAUUCCAAAAUCAUCAAAUCUACUUAAAAACCAUACAAAUCUAACCUAAAAGAGUGGGAUAGGGUUCUUACAUGAUUAUGGGGGAGGAUUAGGGGAGAAUCGCCGGAAAAACGGGAGAGAGAACGGUGGAAUCGCCGGAAAUCGCCGGAAUCGCGAGAGGAGAUGUGCAGCGGCGCGGAGAGAAAGAGAGAAAUGGGGAAGAAGAUCGGGCUCGCCCUAAUCUUAUGAGGCGUCCGACGGAAAAUAUCCGUCGGAAUUUCCUCGGAAAUAUUUUAUACUUCACCUCGGAAUUUCCACGCUUUUGCAUCUGAAGGAUGUCUGAUCUCACCAUCUGUUGAGUGCUCCGCAUGCCAUCUCAUUGGUUGCGCUGUGCGUUCAGACAGAUACAGCCUCUGCAACCUUUCCGUCAAAGGCAAAUACCACAUCCUUUUAUAUGGUACUGGAAUUCUUCCACUCGUAUCUUUAUAACGAGGCUUCCCACAAAAUUUGCAUGAAACCCGCUGUUCAUCCGCCCUCCAAUAAAUCAUGCAGUUGUCUCUGCAUACAUCUAUUACCUGAUACGAUAAACCAAGACCAGCUACGAGUUUCUGAACCUCGUAGUAUGAGCCAGGAGCUACAUUAUCUUCAGGUAGAAUACCUUUUACAUAAUCAGCAAUCGCAUCCACACAGUCUUCAGCCAAAUUAUAAUCCGUCUUAAUGCCCAUCAAUCUUGUAGCAGAUGAUAAAGCUGAAUGACCAUCUCUGCAACCUUCGUACAAUGGUUGCUUUCCAGCAUCCAACAUAUCAUAAAAUCUCCUAGCUUCGGCAUUGGGUAAAUCUUCCCCUCUAAAAUGAUCAUUUACCAUCUGCUCAGUACCUACACCGUAAUCUACAUCCGUUCUAAUUGGAUCUUCUAAUCUAACCGGUGGCUGAGGUUCGCUAGUACUACCAAGUUCAUAAUCAGUUUCUCCAUGAUGAUACCAAAUUUUGUAACUUCGUGUAAACCCACUCAAAUAUAAAUGAGUCCAAACAUCCCAUUCUUUAAUAACUUUUUUAUUUUUACAAUUAGAGCAAGGACAUCUUAACAUACCUGUUUUUGCUUCCGGUUGUCGGUGAACUAACCCCAUGAAUUCGGUUAUACCUUGUUGGUAUUCUUCCGUAAGCAAUCUCGUGUUCGGAUCCAAAUGAGGUCGAUCGAUCCAAGAACGAAAAUAAUUGGAAGAAGACAUGUUUUUUAUGAAUCAAAUUCGUGUGUAAAGAAAGUGAGAGGGAGGAUGAAGAUAUGGUGUGAAUGAAGAGGAAGAGGGGUGCUUGUAUUUAUAGGUGAAAUCCUGCCGACGGUCCGAGGAAAUUCCGACGGAAUUCCGAUGCAAACGGCUAGUUCGUCGGAAUUUCCUCGGAAUUUUUAAAAUCCCCCAACGGCUCUCCAACGGCUCUCUAACGUCUAUAAUAUUUCCUCGGAAUUCAUCGGUUUUUUCCGAGGAAUACUAGUUUCCUCGGUAUUCCGUCGGAAUAUUCCGACGAAAUGUGUUUUCCUCGGAAUUCCGUCGGAAUAUUCCGACGGAAUUCCGAGGAAGCAAAAUUUUGUAUUUCCUCGGAAUUGCCUCGGAAAUGCCUCGGUAUAUUCCGAGGAAUUCAUUUUCCGUCGGAUCGUCCGUCAGAAUACCGCUGUUUUCUUGUAGUGCCAUCACCACAACUCUGGUUUUUUUCAAAAUUCAAAGCCACUAACCAAUCUAACCAGAAAAAAAUAUGCUUUUACUGAAAUGCCCAUAUCUGGUUUCGCUUUUAGGAGGAGAAAUGGGUCUUUAACCACUUAAAAAUGUCUCAGUAGCACUAUGUGUUCUAUGCUGUAAUAAAAACACAUAAAGUGUCCAUUUGUGUUAAUAACUAUUCUUUGAAUCGCAACAUAUCCGAAGUGUAGAGAAAAUUGGUUUCUUAACAUAAUAAGACUUCGACACGUAGUCUGCAAACUCUGUCCCAGACCUCAACCUGCAUAUGCUUCCCUCAUCUUACGUUUUUGAAAGUAAAUGAAGAGUAUUUCAAAAAGUACAAUCAUAAAUGUUAACUAAUAAAGAUUUGGUUAACUAAUAAAGAUUUGGUCAGAAUAUCCAGGCCCUGCCCUGACCUAAAGCCGCUUUAGGCACCAAAUUAUAUCACGAAUUUAGGAGCACAAAAUUUUGUCAAAACUAUCUAGUAUAGGCAAAAGGUGUGUACAAUAUACCCAUGAACCUGAGUUCAAACAUCGCUUAAGCAUUUAUGGUGGGCAAUUAUUUUUUCUUUGCUUUAGGCAUGAUAUGAUGAUGCUAGGCACUGAGAAUACCAUCAGCUAAAUUCUCUCUUCGGAGGUUAGAUCCAGAUCGGCAAUUUUAUCUUACUCUCGAUUUAGAUCCGCCAAAGUUAGUGGCGUGUACGGCUCUCUUGUUUGGUCUUCGUCGGUGUGGGGCGAUGGCAUCGGCUAUCUAUCCUCCGCAUCGGUGUCUCGGUGUAGGAGGAGUCUUUGACCCCGUACAGAUCGGACUUUGACAAUUUCCUCUGUCAAGGCAUGCGUCGGUUUCGCUUCUCCUGCCAGUGUCGGUUUGAAGCUUUCCAACAGCAUGUAUAAAGUUUCUAGUUCGGUGAGACAGGGAGUCGUGUACACUUUGGCGUCAUCUUCUUGUUCUCUGCUCUGGUUUUCGCCUUCAAUCCACGACUUGUCUUGUGAUUCUCUUUCCACCAGAAGUGCACAUCCUAGGUGGAGAGCUGUCGGGUUCUGGCCUUCAUGUUUAGUAGCGAUCGUUAGUUACCGUUCGGCUACAUUUCAAGUUGAAGAACCAUCUUCUUGUUUUAAGAGGUGGAGUGAGUGGGAGUUUGUUAUGAUUCACAAGUGUCCAGAGCUCCAACCUCUCCAUCCCAGUAUGGGAGUCUUGAUCUCUACAAGCUUCGACAUGAUUCCUUCUUUCUUCUUAUUGCAGGCACUCCACUUGAUUACGCGGCCUCAGUUCAAUCUGGUCCUUGCUCGGUGUUGGGUGAAUUUGUCUUGGACGUUUGAUCCAGUUAUAUAUAUGAAUUUUCCGGGUCUUGUUUAACCAGAUUUACGCUUAAACGUCAGUGGAGAUUGCGAGCGUGAAGAGAACAUCAUGAACUAUGUUCAUAGCAUAAGAUGUGCCAGUAACCGAGGAAACAAGGUGAACACUAUCUUUCAAGUGAUUACCGUCAAUGACUGGGGACAGAAAAUGAAAAUCUUAAGAUAUCGUAACUACCUAGCAGAAUGAGCCGAUGGAGUGGUGGUUGAACGAAUUUAAAGAUAUUACGGUAGACUGAGAUCAUUUUAUUUGAAUCGUUUGGAACCAAAAGCUUGAAUUUCUGAUUUUCAGAAAAAUUAAUAAAAACAAAUAUAUAAAAAAAUAUUUGGAUAGAAAACAAUAUUUAACGUUUACGACAUUUUGCCCAACUCUCUUCGUGUUACCUAGUUAACUCAUAUUAUGGACUAAGUUUAAGUUACUUGUUCUAGAAACGGUCUCUCUUGUUUUGAACAUUGAACAUAAAUUUAUAUUAUUAAAGAUGAAUUUAUGCAUUGAACAUAAAUUUAUAUUAUUAGUGGCAAGACAAAGAGUUUCAAUUUGGACUAAAAACACAAACCCGACUGAAUUAGCAAGUAUGUCCCUAACAUAAGUCCUUGACUACUUAGGAUAACAAUAAGAUACAUCAUAUCCUCAAUAAAUCAUUUGAGAAUUUGUAAUCUUUUAUUGAAAUCAUAAAAUAGCGUUUAGUUAAACUUGUAUAUUUUUUUGUCACUUUUAAGUUUUUUUAUUUAACCUUAAACAUUUGCUAAAUCAUAUGUGAUACCUAUCAUUACAAGGUAAUGUUACUAGCCGGCAAUAAGGAAACGUUAUUUUAUAUUUUCGUAGGAUAGUUUAAUGGGUUGGUAAAAAUAAGAAAUAUCUAACAUAGUUACUUGUUCUCAUUCUUAUGGACACUGACAAAAAAAAAAAUCUAACACAUACCUUUUGCAAGAUUCCAACUAAUAUUAGACGGAAACCAAUUAAAACUUUAAAAGCUUUCAACAUCAUAUCUCGGAGAACUUCAAAUGCCUAUGGUCCAUGGAGUAAAUAGGUUUUAUCCCAUCAUGGGUCUAAUCUUGUUCCAGUUUGUUAGUCCACAAGCAUCAGAAAUCAAACAUUACAUUAUUACAUGGUAUUUGUAGUAUUAUAUAAUCCCCUUUUGUUAUAAAAAUAUAUAACAUCAAUCUAUGGUUUUUUAUAUAUAUAAUAUAUAUUUAUCUGCAAAGUAUAAAUGUUAAAAUGAUAAAUCCAAGGGACAAUACUUUUAUCAAUUGCUACUGCCCCAAAUAUUUAUACUAUUAAAAUAGAAAUCAUGACUCAAUUCAUAUGCGAUUUUUAAUUUGGACCAUUUUUAAAAAAUUGUUUAAAUUAUUUUUUGUAUAAAUAGUUGAAAUAUUUGAAUUAUUCUAAAACAAACAAAUCAAAUAGAUAUUCCUACAUUUUCUCUGAAAUUGUAAUCUGAAUAAAAAUCUUUUCAUAUCUUUUUUUAAAAAUAUAAUAUAUAUUUCAUUUUUCAUUAAAAUAAAAAAUUUAAUAUUUAAUUAAUUUCAUAUUUAUUUAAAAUAAAUGUAUCUUUUAUUUUUCACUUAAACAAAAAAUUUAAAUGUUUAGUUAAUUUCGUGUUAAUUUAAAAAUCAAAUAUAUAUUUCAUUUUAACUAAAACAAACUUUUUAAAUAUCUAAUUAAUUUUGUAACUAUAACUAAUCUCAUGUACACUUUUUAUUAAACUUCCGAUAUUUUUUUAAUAUGAUAAUUUUCAAUAUUUUUUUGAUUUUUAAUCAAUAAGGUUUUUCAAUUUUGAAUUUUGUAUCACAUGAUUUUAGAUAUGCUAUCACUGAAAAUUUAAAACAAAUAAAUUAAAUUACUGCAUCUGAACUAUAAAAUUGUUGUGUUUCAAAAUAUUUUAUUAAAAAAUUACUAAGAUGAUAAAUAUUAUAAUUAAUCAUGUAAAACAAAUAAUUAUGUUUAUAAAAAUAAAAAUAAUCACCCACACGGUUGUGCGGGUCAAGUUCUAAUGUCAAAGUUAAGUUCAAAACAAAUCUUGUGUUUAAGCGGCCUGAGAUGAUGAAUGUAACCUUUAACUUUGUCUUAUCUUCGUCGCUGUUUUAUGUCUACUAAGAAAGUAAAAAGCAAUGCAUUUAAAAAGAGGACAUAUAUAUAUUGAAGAAGGAUUGGAUAAAUAUAUGUAAGAUCAUAAAGUUGCAUAUUAUUAUUAUUACAUGUUAAAAAGUUGGAUAUUAUAAAAUAUUCUACAGCUUAUAUAUGGUCACAUUCACCAAUAGCAACUGCUUCAUCAUACUAGGCUUAAGCUUACCUUCCUCCGUCACGAUACCGCUCUGGCAGAGAUGCCAGCGAAGAAUGGGCCGAAUAAUAUGACCUCGAGCCUGUGGAUACAGAUGUAUUAACUAGACUCUGGGAAUGUGAUUGUGGUUGAACAGUAGUUGUUUUCGUCACCGGAGGAACAUUGCUUCCCCUUCCUUUGGUGCAGCAGCAGCAGAUAUUCCCCAUGACUGAGUGAUGUAAGACUCAAAAAGUGAUGUCUUUCUGCGAUGAAAGCAAAGUUCGGCUUUUAUAUUAAUUGUGUUGUGGUUGGUGGAAAACAUUUGUGUAAAGUUUGACUUUGGUGGGACUACAAAUCAGUCAAAGUCAAAAUUUGUUUUAUUUCUUUGAUAUUCUAAUUUUGUAAUAUUUAAUUAUAGAAAGUAUCCCACCAAUUAUACAACAAAAUCAAUACUAUUAAAAGGGAAGGAGUUUUAAUAAAUCAACCUAUGGAAGUCAUUUGGAAUUUUUAUUUUUUUCAUUUUUUUGGUCUUACCUUCUAUAUGUAACAAUAUGUGACAAGAUAUUUAACUCUAUAUAUGUACCCGUUUUUUUACUCUAACUACCAGACUGGUUACAUUAUUAUAAUUCAAAACCGUUUAAUGGAUUAGUAAACCAUCGUACCAAAACAUAAUAAAUUAUAAGAUCCACACACUAUUUCUAAACCGUGACAUAUUAUAGUUAUGAAACUAACAGUUUGUACCAAAACUAACUUCGAUUAUAUGACCCACCAGCUAUUUCUAAACCUGUAACAUAAUAUACUUAUUAAAUUAAUACGAAAAUUACACUUCAAACAUGAUUUGUAUUAAAGACCUAAGACACUAUAGGUUAUACGAUAAUACCACAUUAUUCAUCACAUCUUUAUCCUGCCAUCGUGCAACUUCUGUUUGUUAAAAUGAAAAACCUUCUUGGAUGUUUCACACUGUCUUUACAUGUCUUCUCUUCCUGAGUGAAAAAUCGUAUAUGUCAACACAUUAUUAAAUAUCACUUAUUAAAAUAUCAAUCAUGUCUGUAUAUAACAAAACUUAAAACACAAUAGCUUAUACAUACCACAAUGUUCAUCAGAUAGUAUUUACAUAAUAUAUACAAUUAACUUCAAAUACAUCACCAUCGUACAAUAUUUUGUUACCAACAUUGCAAAUCACAUUUUUAAAGAUUAACUUCAAUUUACAGUUUUAAACGAUAAGCUUUGUUGCUAAUCACAUAUUUAAAAUUUAAAAUUUAAGUUCGUAACAAACUAUGACACUUAAAAUUCUGAUGACUUCCCCUACAAGUUUAUUUAGUACGGCCAAUUACAUAAUUUACCUUAAUUCUAUCAACCAAAAUAUCUAAUGGAUCCUACUUAUAUUUUUUACCAAGAUUUUCGAUAACCUACAUUGAUUACAAUAUAUUCUAUCAUAACUUAUCUUAACCUACAUCGACUAUAAACCUCUCCUGUUAUAAAUACAAACUACCUCAGAAACCAGUGUUUCGAAAACCGACCGGACACUAAACCGGACGACUUACCGGGUCAUUGGGUCACUAGAUUGACCGCGGAUUAAUAAAUGAAUUAAGUUUAUUAUAUAAUAAUAUAUUAACUAUGGAAAUAAAAAUAUACAAACUAAAGUAAAUAUUUUAUAAAUGUUUUUAAAACAUAAAAUAAUAGUUUGGAUAUGUAUAUUUUAUGUUAAAAACAUUUAAAAAAUAAUUAACUAAGUUUUCAUAUUUUUAUUUUCAUUUGAAAUACAAAUAUCAAAAAAAUAGUUUAGAAUAUUUAAAAAUUAUGUAACAAGUUAAGAGUUAUGACAUCUAAAAAAUCAAAACAUUAAAUUCAUAAAUAUUUAUGUCGAAUCUGAAUAAUAAAUUAAAAUUCAAUCCAAAAUAAACCAAAAGUAAAACAUCAUUGUAAUAAAUUGCCAAUAACAAAGAAUGUAUAACCAAGCUUGCCAUAUUCUUCUUCUUCAACUUUUUAAUUAGAAAUUUAGAAUAUAAAAAAUAAAAUAAAAAAGCAUUAUAAACAUUAGAAUGUAUAAGUUAUCUAUUGGUUCAACCAGUGGUUUAACCGGUACCGGGUUUUGGAUUUUAGUGGGUUUUUACGGGUUUUUUGGAUUUUUAAAUUUUGGGUUUUUCACAAAAUCCUAACCGCAUUUAUAUCGGGUCACCAGAUUUACAUGCUCAACUGCGGGUCCGGGUCGGGUUUCAAAACACUGUCAAAAACCUUUAUCCAUCAACUCUAUUGGAACCAAACACACUACAAAAAACCCAGCAAAGAAACGAAACCGAAAACGUGAUUCACAUACAAAAAACAAUUCUUAUGCAAGCCAAAUAUAUAUUGAUAUAUCAAAAUAUCUAUAACAAAAAUCAAACUUAUAUUCUUUUCAUUGCAUUAAUAACGGUUUUUUUAUUUUAAUGUAUUUUUACCAUAUUCGUUUUAUUAUAUCCUAACUUGACUUUAUACGAAUAACUGGAUCUAUCGAUUUGACUACAAGUCUGAAUCGGAUAUGAAAACUCAGUGAAAAUAUUGUAUCGGAGUGAAAAAUAAUAAUAGAACAACUUUUAAAUAUUAUAGAUAUCUAAUAAAUAGAUAUACAUUCAUUUAAUGUUGGCGUAACGAUUAACAAAAACAUAUAUGCGCUUCUUAAGCGCGGAUCAAAAUCUAGUAUAUGCCUAAAUCAUCAUAAAGAGAAUCGUGUUUUUGAUACAUUAAGUUUUUUCCAGUAGUCAUAAUAAUAUAAUUCAACAGUUCUUCUAUCUCUUUUUCUUAACUGGUAAAUUAUAAUGUAACGAAAUUUUCGAUCUUCGAACCAGUAACCAGAAUUAAAAUCUUUAAUUUUACAUUACAACAAUUUCGCAACUGCAUAUAUAAUUUGUAGAGAUUUACUAUAAAAUGAUUACCAAUGAUGACUAUUUUAUUAGAGAUUAAUUUUUCUAAAUAUUUUAAAGUCUCUGAAUUAUCUACUUAGCUUAUCCAUAUAAAAAGUUGGAAUAUAUACCAAAUUGCAGUAUUAUCUGGUAUUUGUUCCUUCUCGAUGUUAACUAGAGCAUUUAUCUACGUUACAUGUUGUAAAGGAGACCACUAGGAAUCAUAAACGAAUGGUGGAGAAUAGCGAGUACGUCGAAGAUAAAGAUCUAAUUUAUGCAUUUAGGAGAUGCAUGUUACAUCAAGUUUCCAUCAAGAAGAUUAAUGGAGAUCACAAACAAACAUAUCAUUUAUUUAUUUUUCAAAAAAAAAAAACAUAUCAUUUAGCUAUCACAGAAGGACAAAUUGUAUAUAGGUUGAAAUACUAAGAUACGAAGUGAAAUAUGAGUCAGCAAGCAAAGUUAAAAAGUUGUGUGAGACAUAUCACAUGAGUAACUUAACAAACAUCAUCAUCAAUCCUCAUGAAUAAAGAUAUAUUUUAUAAGAUGCCAGGAGAAGAAUUUAGGAAAACAAAUUAGCCAUGAAAAAUAGUCACAUGACCUUUUCUCUAAGUGAGAUUUUAUUUUUAUUAACCUGACAAGAAGCAUUCGACGAAAAAGAUGAAUAAUCUUAGGAUUUGAGGGCUAAACUGUUCAUAAGAGAUUCUCUUUUGUUUUUCUAUCCUUCCAAAAUUAAUCAGAAUAAAUUUUGUGCAAUUAUUAAUUUUUUCAAGCAUCUAUGAGCCACAUAUAUAUUGUUAUCUAUACUAUUAAAAGAGAAGCAGUCUUUAAAAAUCUACUUAUAAAAGAUUGUUGGCUCUUUCAUUAGAAUGUUAUAUUUUAUAUCACUUUAAUUAAUCAACUCCACAUAAUAUAUUUAAUAUUUAUGCCAAACUAAAAGAUUAUGCCACCAGAUUUUGUGCUUAUUAACCGAAAAUAAUUAUAUUAGCAUUUAUUUUCAAAUACCAGAAAGAUAAUAUUUAAAUAUAGUUUAUAUUGUCAGCUAUGAUAAUUAUUUAUCCGCUCCACAUAAAGGCUGAUUUACAACAUUUAUUAACAUAUUAUAUGAAACAAAUUUUUUUAUAUACAGAAUGUAAAACUUUUAUGUAAAACAUAAUGUAUAGAAACAUGACAAUACUUUAAAGUUUUUUAAUUAUAUUCAAAAUUUAUGCGUAUACACGAAAUAUGUUUCUAAAAAUCUAACAUUUUAUUUAAAAUCUGAAACAUUAACCGAAAACCGAAUCUGAAACACAAAAGAAUAAUCGUGAUACCGAAGACAUAUUUGAAACAGAAAAAUAUAUUUAAUAUAUACAAUACAUUUUAGAUACUCAGGGUACCGGUUAAGAUCUCUGUAGAAUCCAAACUUAAACCAACACUGCGGGUCUGAAAUAUACCCAAUCGAUACUUUGCCGUAGACUUGGAUCUGAACCGAUUCGGAUCGGUUUUUAUUCGAACCAAACAAAAUGUUUGAUCUAAGAAAGAGUUACAUAACAAUAUACAUACAAAAUUUUAAAUAAAUUAAUUCAUAAAUCAUAUAAUUUUAUAAAAUUCUAUGUUUUGAUAUAAUUCAAUAUUGUAACAUAAUAACAUACAAAAAUCAUUAACAUUAUUAAACUUUUUAUUGUAAGAAAACCCGCGCUUUUGAAGCGCGGAUCAAGAUCUAGUACUAGGUUAAGACCCGCAACUUGCGCGGAAUGAACAUUAUAUAUAAAAAUGAUUUUAUUUUAAAUUGGUGCGAACAUAUAAAUAAAUUUUAUUAAUUCAAACAAUAUUUUUUUCUAUAUGAUAGAACAUAUAAUUAAAUUUAAAUGAUAUUAACAUAUAUGAUAUAUUUUUAAUAUUAAUAUCUAUUAAUUGAUGUUUUUUACACAUAUGUUUUUUUUUUUUUAUCAUUUGCAUCUUUUAUAGCAAAAGCUUUAAAUUACGGAUAACAAAAUUUCCAUUGUGAGCUUAAUAUCUUUAAUAAUUUAUCAUUUUAAAAAAAAUAAAGUUGUCAAUGUUUUUAAAAAGAUUUUAUCAAAAGAAUUGUUCAAAGUAAAUUUUACAAUUAAAAUAUUAAUGUAUUUUAUAUGGUAUAUAGUUUAAUUUAAAAUAAUAUAUAUAUAUAUAUAUAUAUCUUGAUAUUCAUAAUUUUUAAAUAAGAAUUUCUACUUAUAUGAUUUUGUAACUAUUUGUAUCUGUAUAUAAGAAACAUUUUAAAUCAUGGAUCACAAAAUUUGAAUGUGAAACUUUAAACAGUUUAAGUAAUUUAUAGUCGUGUUAAAAAAUUCGAAAUAUAACAUAUAAAGAAAAAUAUAAAUUUUUAUUAUAUGUUUAGUGUGGUUAUUUAAUUUAUUUUAAUAGUUUAAAAUUAAAAAAAUAUGAUAGAAAAUACACUAAUCUUAUCAAAUUCUUAUUAUUCAAAAUCAUUAACUGUUAUAUACAGUGAAACCUCUAUAAAUUAAUAAUAUUGGGACUACACCAAAACUAUAAUUUUUUUAUUAAUUUAUAGAGAUAUUAAUUUAUCGAUAUACUAAUUGAACCAAAAACUCAAUUUGGGACUAUAAAAUUAUAUUAUUUUACAGAGAUUUUAAGUAUAGUAAUUUAUAGAAUAUUAAUUUAAAGAGGUUACACUGUAUACUUUACUCACAUUAGGUAAUUCUGUAACUUUUAUUUAUGAAUUUAUUAUUAGUUUAAUAAAAAAACUUAUUAUAUAUUUAGAUGGACCAACCUAUUUCUGUGAGAAUUCUAAAAAUCAUUCUAUUAAGACAUGUUAUUACAAAAAAAUGUUAUAAUGUUUCUCAGUUAAUAUAUUAGGGAUGCUACAAAUAUUCUCCAUCCUCAUCUAUCCCCAUAUUUUUAUCCUAAAUUCAUGCCACCCUACGUAAACAUGGUAAGCGGUAUGUUAGCAUUACCAAAAAUACACAAAAUUAAUUGGGAAUAAAAUUGUUGACCAAGAAUUGCGGUAUUAAUCAUAUAGAUCUAAACGAAAGUUAAACGUUACCAUCAUUUUAAGUAAAAAAAAAUUAUUAGACGUCUCAUUUUUUAAAAUAUGAUAUCAAAUUAUCUUUGCAAAUCACGUUUGUUUACAAUACCUCAGUAAUGAAUGGGUCAAAGUCAAUUUGAAAUCCUUCUAACCGAGAAUAUUUUUGGCCGGUUUGUUGUAAUCAGUGAACCGUGAACACAUUCUAAAUUGUUGUUUUCAAGCUUCGAGUUCCAGAAUUUUAAAAUAAAGCUAUGAGAACGUUACAUUUCUUAACGGUUUUAAUAAACUCAUUGAGUAAAAUUGAGCCUCAGACACAUCGAUGAAUCUUCCUCAUACACAUACAAACUAUAAUCAUAAUGGUGGACAUGUGUUUUGCAGAUAACUCAUAUGAUGAACAUACGAACGUAGGGGUGGGUACUUUACCCGAUAUCUGAAGUGGCACCCGAACCCGAUCCGAAAAAUCCGAACCGAAAUCCGAACCGAAGUAGCAAAAUACCUGAACGGAUAUUGAAUAAGGAGAGAUUAGAUACCCGAACGGAUAAUACCCGAAUCCGAAUGGAUAUCCAAAAAUAACCGAACAUAUAUAUAAUUAACCUUAUAUUUCUAGUUUAUAUCUCUUAUUUUAUAUAAAAUAUUUAUAUUGAUACUACACAUACUUUAAAUUCAUAUGAUAUACAUACAAUUAUGGAAAACAUGAUUUGUUACUCACUUAAAAUGCAUGUCAAGUUUUUUAUUUUAAAAAUUAACAAAAAGUUACAUCCAAAAUUAAAAAAAAGUAACUAAAUUAAUGUCUUAUUAGCUUUAAAAUGUUAUGUCCAAAUCUAUUAACCAUUCAAUCUAUUAAAAAAAAAAUUAGUUAACUGAAAGUUAUAUUUCUAAAUACAACAAACUUGAGAAAUGAAAAUUUUAAUUUUUUUUUCAAAAUCUAAAUUUCCGAACCCGAUCCGAAAUAACCAAAUCCGAACUAAAAAUACCCGAACCCGACCCGAAGUACAGAAAUACCCGAAUGGGUUCUAGACCUCUAUACCGAAAUACCCGAAAAUCCGAAAUAUCCGAUCCGAAUCCGAACGGAUACCCGAACGUCCACCCUUAUAUAAACAUAUUGCUUUUUUUUUUUGAAAAAACAUAUGAACGUAUUGUUUUUUUUUUUGACAGCAAACGGCUCUUCUAUUACUCAAACUUGAGGUGGUCUGAGAAGCCAGACCGGAAUAGAACAACCAAUAAAACAUAAUAUAUGAACGUAUUGUUAAAUCGUGAACAUAUGAUUAUAAUAUCUAUGAAUCGUGUGAAUAUUGAUUACGGUGGUAACAUGUGUUUUCAUUAAUUUAAUGUUUCGUAUGAAUUCCUGCCUCGUACUAAUAUUUGACCAAUAUAAAUGAUAUUAAAUACUUGUGUGAAAUAGUCGUAUGGUGAGCAUACAUAUAAUUAUAGUUAUUAUUAAUAAUUUGUAUUACCAAUGAUAUUCAUGUAAAUAGUCUAGCAAUAGAUGUCUUGUUAGUUAAAUGUUGUGAGAGAGCUUAUGGUAGUGACAUCUAAGCAAAAAAUAGUAUUUCUAUGAAUAUGUUACAUAUUUAAAGUUAUUUUUUUAAAAUGUUUUUCCAUUAAUAAGAAAGAGAUAUAUGUACAUAUAUGUGUGAAUGAUGUAUUGUCGGGAGCUUGAGAGGCUGAGCCUCUUGCCAUUCACGACCAUCCUUCAUUGCCUUUAGGAUAACUUCCUUUUCGUUGAAAAUCUUUUCCUCAAAUACCAUACGGUUCCUACUAGUCCAUAAGGUCCAUAGUACCCAAGGAAACAGAGGUUGGGAGAUUCCAGACGGAGGGAGAUUUACCAUUCUUUGGCUUUGCUUGAAGAGCUCUGUUACAGAAGCCACCACGGAGGGGUUUGGCUUGAAUAUAGCAGGAGUGAGGUCCCAUACUUUAACGGCGAAAGGGAAGGUGAGGAAGACAUGGAGGACAGUUUCCUCGCCACCACAUCGCUUACAUUUCCCAUCAGUCUCAAUUCCUCUUCUUCUCAGGAGAUCUCCCACAGACAAAGCAUCACGCUUUACUUUCCAAAGAAAGUGUCUAAGCUUUGGGGGACAUUUGACAUUCCAAAUACAUUGAUUCCUGUUGAAGCUCUCAGCUGUUGUUUGAGUGAUAUUGAGUUUUGAGAUAGCAUAGCCUGAUUUUGUAGUGUACUCUCCUGAUUUCUCAGGCAACCAGGCCCUCACAUCUUGCAUUCCUAGCGCACUUGGAACCAGUGAAUUGAUAUGGCCUUCAUAUUGAGGGAGGAUCUGUUGUAUCAGGGGGGCGUUCCAUACCACCGUUUCUGGAGUGAUCAGAUCCGAUACUUUCAGUUCCUGUAGGUUCUCAGGCGCUGAACCUAUUGGGCAGAGUUGCCUCGACGUAGAGAGCCAGUUAUCAUGCCACACAUUGAUGUUACUCCCAUCACCAAUCACCCAUCCUAAUCCUCGUUUGAUAAUUUUUCUUCCUGCUAGGAUUCCCGCCAGCCAUGGGAGGCGUUCCCUGGUGCUGAGCACUUAAGCAGAUCCUCAUACUUGCAGUACUUGUUUAGUAUAACUUGUCCCAGUAGAGAGCUUGGAUUGCGGAGGAGGCGCCAAGGUAUCUUUGCAAGCAAAGCAUCAUUAAAGACUUCAUUUUCCCUGAAACCUAGGCCUCCAGCAUUUUUUGGUAGUGUGAGAUUGUCCCAAGAAACCCAAACAUCUUACGGAUAUUCGGCUUAAGAUUCCACCAGAACCUAGUGAGAACCGAUUGAAUUUGUUUACACAUCGACUUAGGGAGCUUGAAGCAGGUCAUAGUAUAGGAAGGCGUGGCUGAGAGAACUGCUUUUAGGAGAACCAUCUUGCCUGCUCCGGAGAGAUAUCUAGCUGUCCAGUUAUGGGACUUCUGUCUGAUCCGAUCAACAAUGCUCGCAAAUAUAUCUCUUUUCUUCCUUCCGAAAUUUUCAGGAAGUCCCAAGUACUUCCCAAUGCCCCCUUCAGUAUUAAUGUUCAACUCUCUCUUAACUCUAUCUUUUGCUUCCACCGGAGUUUUUGACGAGAACGUGAUGGCUGAUUUGAUUCGAUUAAUACACUGACCAGAUGCCACUUCAUAGCGCUUAAGGAUCGAAGCUAAGGCUGAGCAGCUGGUUGGAUUAGUUUUUCCGAAGAACAUCGUAUCAUCAGCGAAGAGCAAAUGAUUUAUAGCAGGGCAGUUUCUUGCAACUUUAAUGCCCGGGAAGGAGCCAUUCUCCAGCGCCUUUUGACACAGCCCGGAGAGAACCUCCGUACACAUGAUAAAUAAGUAGGGCGAGAGCGGGUCACCUUGACGGAGCCCUCGUGCUGGAAUAACUUUCCCUUGCGGACCUCCAUUGAUGAGGAAGGAGUAGGACACGGAGGAUACGCACUCCAUUACCCAAGAGAUCCAGAUAUCAUGAAAGCCUAGCACCUUGAGGACCUCUUUGAGAAAACUCCAUUCGAUUCGAUCAUACGCUUUGCUCAUGUCCGUCUUCACCGCCAUAGAGCAUCUCUUCUUAGCUCCCGAAAUCCUCAAAAAGUGGAGAGUCUCGUGUGUGAUCAGAAUGUUAUCCGCAAUCGCACGCCCUGGGACAAAGGCAGAUUGAUAUGGGGAUAUCAGGUCUUGAAGGAGAGGUUGGAGUCUCUUUGUAAGGAUUUUGGCGAUGAUCUUGUAGUGGGUGGUGCAUAGAGCAAUGGGGCGGUAGUCGGAAACUUUUUUUGCGCUCAGGCUCUUCGGUAUUAGCCGCAGGUGGGUCUCAUUCUGUCUGGGAUUGAGGUAGCUGGUUUCAAAGAAGCUCCUAAUCUCCCGGGAGACAUCCUCACCAAUUAUUUCCCAAAACGAUUGGUAAAAUCCGGCUGAGAACCCAUCCAGACCCGGUGCCUUAUCAGCAUGGAUCGCAAACACGGCUCUUUUGAUCUCCUGAUUAUCUGGUAUGGCGAUGAGAGUUUGGUUUAUUUCAUCAGUAAUCUUGCAGGAUAGAGCCUCUUGAACUAUCUGCUGUGAAUCAGUGCUGCCAGAGGUAAAAAGGGAGCGGUAAAAUUCAGAGAAUGCCUAGACAAUUUGACUUUCAUGAUAGAACGCUUGGCCCUCUUCUGUUUCGAUAGCUGAAAAUUUGUUACACGCUCUCCUGCCUCUCGUAACCGCGUGGAAGAAGUUUGAAUUUCGAUCACCACAGCUCAGCCAUUGGAUUCUACUCCUCUGCCUCCAAUAUGCUUCCUCUUCCGCAUAGGCCUUUUCAAGAGUCUGUGUGAGUGUCUCGAUUCUGAUAAGGUCAGGGAUAUUAUCGGAUAGGGCUUGCUCUAGUAACGUUUGAGUAGAGACGGUAAGCUCUUUACUUGUAGCAGCCUGUUUCCGUGUCCAUUCCACAAUGUUUCUCCUGACUUCAUUUAUUUUUGUGAGGACAGAGUUUGAAGGAACAGAGUUCCAAGUCUCAUCCACAAGUUGUCGAAUUUCUGGCUUCUCUCGGAGCCUCCUAUCAAAUCUGAAGACGCCCUUCUUCUUUAUCAGAUUUUGAUCGAAGUGAGUGAGGAGAGGACGAUGGUCAGAUCCCUCAACCCGUAAAUACUCACUUCGUCCGGAGGGGAAUUGUUCGAACCAAGCCAGGUUGGCCAUAGCUCUAUCAAGCCGAGAUUUGAUGUGGUGACUGUAUCUAGUUCCUCACCAGGAGAGUGAGUUGCCAGAGAAUUGGAGGUCCCACAAGCCAUUCAUUGAUACAAAAUUACGGAAAGCUAAGAAGGAGCCCUCCCAUCUCGGCGGGCCACCAACUUUUUCGGAAUUGUCUAGGAGGUCAUUAAAGUCGCCCGUUAACAGCCAAGGAGUGUCUCUUUGGUCUCCUAGCAUAGACAAGUCUUCCCAAAAUUUAGCUCUUUCCUGUUGUUGGGGAGCUCUGUAAAUGAAAGACACAAAGACAGACUUAUCAUUGAUCUGUAGUAUUGUGUCAAUAACAUUUGCAGAGGAGGAGAGCACUUCAAGUUUUACAUCUUUUUUCCAAGACAGUGCAAGCCCACCACUUAGUCCCACAGGCGGGAAAGUAUAGUGGUAAACGAAAUCAGUAUCCUUGUAGAGGCUAAAGACGGCUUCAUCUUGUCGCUUAGUUUUCAUGAGAAACAUGAUGUCCGGGGAAUUUUUUGAUUUAAAUUCCUUUAGACGACGAACUGUCAAGUUGCUUCCCAUUCCUUGACAGUUCCAGCUCUUACACACUAAGGGAGAGGUUUUGGAGCGGUCUGAAAAUCCGUUCCUUUCCGAGUAGUAGCCGGUAUCAUGUUAGCUAGAGGUCGUGCAGCUCUGGAGGUUCCUGCUUCAUGGUCUAAUGCAGCUCCACUUGCGGGAACGAGUCUGCGUUUAGAUGAUGGUUGAGAUUUUGUUGUUCUGCGUCUCUUAACGCUCACUUCCUGAAGUGGGCUUCUCACAACUCUUUUCCUAGAUGCCGUAGGGGAAGCUGCCUUCUUCUUUCCUUGGGCUCUAAGAGUUGCCUGAUUAGCUGCUCUGCUCUUUUUUGGCAGUGGAAUAUCUUCAAUAAUAGUCUCUUCAGAGUCUACCAUAGGGCCAAGACGGAGGGAGACGUGUCUUCUAUCUUCACUGAGGGUUCUAAUAGGAGAUUUAUCCUCAAGGGUCUUCCCUGCAGUUCGUGGAGAUGGCGGUUUGGAAGAUCCUCCUGAUGAGAGGCGAUGUCUCAAAUCAUCUACGACGUGCGCGUUACUCCUCUGCAGUCUACCUGAAUUGGCAUUUGCCUCUCCAUCAAGGAGCAGGGGAAUCCUUUCAUUUGAUCCAGCAAGUCGCUCUAGCGCUGAUCUUCGUUCGCUGUGUGGGUGACUACGUUCUCCAGACCUCAUUGAGGGAGCAUGUGGUCCAAUUACUGGAGUAUGCAUUUUCUCUCUAUCUGGUUUAGGAGAAGGAGUAUGAGAGACAUGUGACUGGCGGGAGAUAGACCCACCUUGCACCGGUCUCCAUUCACUUCUUUGGGGUCCUCCCCUGAGAUGAGAGUUUCCAGUUUUGUGAGAUCCUGAGCUGUCUUUAGGUAGGGAGAGCCUAUCUCUAGCAGAAGCUCGUGAGUGUCCACUGGUUCCCUGAUCUAGUCUCUUUUCAUUGUAGUGUGGAUCACGUCUUGCUCCAUAAUGAACACAGAAGUCUUUAUCAUUACUCCAGUUUAGAGCAGGUUCACUGUUCCUGUUGUAAGACUCCGAGCGUCCUCUAAAGGGUUGCUCUGGUUCAGGGGGGUAUCUGUGCUGCUUCCUAGUAUCCACUCUUCUUCUUCUUCCAGCAUCAAUAGUGUCGAGAGUUUGUCUCUGAGAGAUACCAAGUUGAGAUGUGCGAGGACCAUAAUGGCCUAAUCUAGCCCGCUGAGAUGGGCAAUCUUCUACUUCAUGUGAGAGAGAGAAGCAGUUAAAGCAAUGUUUCUCAAGUUUUUUAUACUGGAGUUCCACCUCUUUAAUUUCUCCAGAAGGUAAGCUGAUGUCCAUCUUCAUCUCGAGGGGUUUUAAGCCAUUAACGAGGACCCUAAUUCUUGCGUGGUCAACAUCUUUACCGUCAAUGGGUCUUAGUGCUUCGCCUAUUGUAGUAAUGGUUUUUUCAUCCUAAUAGUGGAGGGGAAUGCCGUGAAUCGUAAUCCAAAAGGGAAUGAGAGCCGGGAAGUAGUCUGAGACAAUUGGUUCCCAUCUCUGUAGGAUGAUCAUCCAUCUUUUGAAAUGGUACGGAGCCCCUGCUAGGAUUGACUGGAUGUCUUGUUCCGAGUCAAACUUGAAUUGGAACAGGUGAGGUCCAAGAUCUCUGUUUGAGAUGGUUCCAGUAACACGCCAGUGUUGUAGAAAGACGUCAACUAACGCCCUAGUUUUUUGAAUCGAGGGAUUGGUGACUCUUCCGAUGAGGGUGAAGCGGUGUUCUUCAAUGAGGGUGUUGUUGCUUAUUGCCGGAAUCUUGACCGGACGACGCUUCUGGGGGCGUCGAGAAUCAGCUGUCCACUUUUCUUUGUCGGAUCUUAAGAGACGAUACGUCAUGGAGGAAAGUUGUUUUAAAAACUUUUAGGGAAUCUACUGGAAAAGCGUCGACAGUAAGUGGUAGAAACCUUAGCGGUAAGGUAGAUUAACUGCACAUGACAGUAAGAAGUGAAAAACUCUCUUCAAACACCAACCGACAGAACGGUUUGGUUUAAUGAGACAUAAAUGCUUUGUUUUCUAAUCCAGAUCUGCUUCAUUAACUCCAUUUCCAGGAGGAUUUAACUCGGUGGGGGAGUAGAUCUAGUCUUGUCGGAGAAAAUUAGAUGCGGUGGUUGGCUAGAGGAGACGGUGGUGAUGCGGUUUCGAAAGAAGGAGCUAGGGUAAAGUCAACUUCGAAACAGUGUACCUCGUGUCUCGUGCCAGGGAGCAUCUAGAUUCCUGCUUUUCUCAAAAUUUCUUACAAUAGUUCGAGUAAAAAUAAAAACAUGUAUUCUUAUAAAUAUAUUUCAUGCUGACAAUAUAUAUAUAUAUAUAGACUAAUAAAAUUCGGAAACACAAAAACAAACAGAAAUUUAUAAAUGUUUUUGUAAAACUUGAAACCCUUCAAAAUAGUAGAAAACUAAAUUAAAAAUUACAAUAGCAUCACUUUCAUUUUAUUUAUGAAAGUACUAUAUAUCAGUUUUAUUUUAUUAAUGAUAUAGUACUAUAUCAGAUUAACCAUGUCAAUUUGACACAAUUAGUCUGUAAAUGUGGAUCCGUCUUAUGCAUUUAAACGAUCGUGAAGUAGCUGUCAUACGAAAGAACCUGUCGGCAAGAGAAGCAAAGCCAAAAAAAAAAAAAUAUCUUAGAAGCCUAUCAUUUUCUUACUUUCAUUCAUAUAAACACACAAAUUAUAUACAUUAGUGUUCUCGUCAUAAUCUAAACGUGUCAAUGCCUAAAAAAACGAUAAUUUUCUUUCUCUCUUUCAUUUUGUGAAAAAUAUGCAGAUCAUGAAAUACUAAUAGACAGCACUUGGACUUGUGAAUAUGCUUUAUUUAAGGCAUAUUUUGUAGGUUAUAUAUAGAAUCUUUUUCUUAUUUCUUUUUUGAGCAUAUUGAUAAACUAGGAACAAGAUCUGAUGAAAGAAAGCAAAUCAUUUAUACAUAUAUGGCAGAAAUUUUAUUUAUCUUAAAAUUCAAUUAAUGGAGGAGGGUGAAAGAGAAAAGUUAGAGCAUUUUGGUUGGACAAGAUUGACAACCAUAAGUGCCAAGAUAGAGGAGAGAUAUCUUAACUCUCCUUGGAAAAGUACUAGGUAUCAAUUUACUUUUCUUAAAAAAUAAUGUUGAAAAAUAAUACUAAUACAUUGUAUAAAUGUAUUCCCGGAUGAUGUAAGAAUAAAAUAAUGUGGUAUAUAUAACUAGUCCCAGUUCCCAUUAUAUAUACACUAAAUAUUUUAGAACAUAGUAUUAUUUUAUUUUAUUUUUAAAAAGGAAAGUUUAUGAGCAUAGAUAUAAGUUAUGUAAGCUUUUAUUUGGCCAAGAAUGGCUUUAGCACCUGCCAAAAUCAAACACAAAGCUGUUCUCUUACAACAUUCCAACAAAAGAAGAACCGGCAAGGUGGCCCACCACCACAACCAACACCUCAUCCUCCCAUCACCCAGUCACCACCACAAUUCAUGCCCUAGAUUCAGAACCAGAAUCCUUUCGACUCAAGAUCUACACUACACAUUUAACUUAUAUAUACAAUUCAUGCCCAAAAGGAGGUCUGUUGGGUUUUUGGUUUAUUGGUGAGAGGGAAAUAGAAAAAAGAGAAUAUUAGGAUGGGAAGAGGGAAAGUGGAGCUGAAGAGGAUAGAGAACAAGAUCAACAGGCAAGUUACUUUUGCAAAGAGAAGGAACGGUUUACUUAAGAAGGCUUAUGAGCUUUCUGUACUUUGUGAUGCUGAGAUUGCUCUUCUCAUUUUCUCUAACCGUGGCAAGCUCUACGAAUUUUGCAGCAGCCCUAGGUAAUAUUAUCUCUGAUUCUUAUAGCUCUCCUGAUAGUUUCUAUUUUUAUCCUCUCAUUUUCAAAAUUUAGGGUUUUGAUUCUUUAGGAUUCUGGAGGAUAUAUAUAUAUAUAUAUAUUUAUUUAUUUAUUUAUUUGAAAGUUCGGGUAUUUCUUGAUUAUGUUAGAAUUGAAUUGUUAGUAUUUAAUUCCUUUAUUUAUUUAUUUAUGUAUACAAAUCUGGUUUCUAGAGUGAGAUUAAGUUAACAAAAAGAUGACCAUAUAAUAAGGGUCUUAGAUUAUCUAGAUGAUGAUUACAGUUAGAGACUUUGAAUAGAAAAGUACAUAAAGUUUGUUUAUAGAAGCUAGAUAUACUAUAUUAAUAGUUGCUCAAAAAAAUAUACUAUAUUAAUAGUGAAAGCUUUACACAUGAGAUUAGUCUUGAAGGGGUUGAUCCAAAUUUCCAAAGAGACAAAGGAUUGACCUUUGGAUAUACAAACAAUAUACACAAAGCUGUAAAGAACACACAAACAUACUUUGACUACUUAUUUAAGUUAGUAUCUCGCAAGUACUUCUAAUCCUAUUAAAGUUAAAGAGACAAUAUUUAAGUUAGUAUCUCGCAAGUACUUCUAAUCCUAUUAAAGUUAAAGAGACAAUUGUAAUUAUACUCAUCACAAAGAUUUUUUGUUACUUUUUUUUUCUUUGUGAACAAUUAAAAAACUUCUUUUCUUGAAAGCCCAUCAUGAGACUGAUACCGAUCUUGAUGUUCUUGGUUUUGUAACACAAACAUUUGACAAUGCUUAAAAAGGGUUUUUGUAUGCCCUUUUGAUAUAUUCUAAAAGUUCAAAGUUUGAUUGAUACAUAUAUGAUGAAAUUCAAUUAUCAUAUUGUUGUAUACAUUAGUGGUAUGGCCAAGACGAUUGAGAAGUAUAGAAAACAUAGUUAUGAAACAAUGGAUCCAAAUCAGUCAGCUAAAGACUUGCAGGUACAUCUUCAUUCUCUCUCUCUAUUAAUUGUCAAAGACUGGCCUCAAAGUUGUGAAGUUGUCCUUAGUUAAAUUAUAUCUUAAUGCAGGAAAAGUACCAAGACUACUUGAAACUCAAAUCAAGAGUUGAGAUCCUUCAACAUUCACAAAGGUACAUAGCUUGACUCAUAGCAGAUCUUGAAAAAAAAAUGCUUACUCAAACUACUUAACUCUUCUGAAAUUUGGCUCUCUCUAGGCAUUUGCUAGGUGAAGAGAUAGCCGGGAUGGGAGUGAAUGAGCUUGAGCAGCUAGAACGCCAAGUAGAUGCAUCACUAAGACAAAUAAGAUCCACAAAGGUAUAUACAAUCUCAAGAAAUAGACAAGUUCAUAUUGGAUUCUUUGGUCCGAAAAGCAUUUAGAGCAGUACUAACUAUUGUUCUUUUCAUUGCCAGGCUCGGUUUAUGCUUGAUCAAUUAUCUGACCUCAAAACAAAGGUACAUAAUGAGUUACAGUGUUCCAGUAAUCUCAAUACCACACACCCUCAUAUUCAUAAAUUUACAGGAGGAAAUGCUAUUGGAAACUAAUAGAGAUCUUAAGAGAAAGGUAGUGCCAUCAAAAUCUUCUAACACAAGAAGUAAAAUUUAGUUGAGAUCUCUCAUAACAUUGUUCUUUCACUUUCUCUUUCUAUUUUCAGUUGGAGGAAAACGAUGCAACGGUUACUCAAUCGCUAUGGGGAGCUUCUUCUUUUGCAGAACAUUCCCAACAACAACAGCAACAACAAGGCAUGAGCUCUUAUCAAACAAACCUUCCAACUCAAGAAGUAGGUUUCUUCAAGCCUUUACAAGGCAAUGUAGCAUGGCAGAUGAGGUAUUCAUCAUAGAAAAAAAUAGUUAACACCCAUUGACUUGAUUUUCUUCUGAUCAGCGAGGUUUAUCCUACAAUUUGUGUAUCUUUAUAUCAAACAGUCAUUACAAUCCUGGUGUGACAAAUGCAAGCGACUCUGCAACAACAUCCCAGAAUGUUAUUAAUGGAUUCUUCCCUGGGUGGACGGUCUGAAGCAAUAAUACAUAUGUAUGUAUACAUGUGCGUGUUUUAUAGAUCAAAAAUCAUUGCUUGUGUAAUUUAAUUGUUGCAAGGGAAACAUAGUUCUUGAUUACAAACUAUGUUAUAGAAUCAAGAGCUGAAUGUCAUACUCUCAGAUUAUUACCUUUUUGAAUAUAUAACAAUAUUUUUGAGCUUUUUACAAAGAAAAGUUGUGCGAGGCUUUUUUUUUUUUUUGGAAGCAUCAUAGAAAUUAUGUCGGAUUAUGACAAAACUAUCUGGAUUAUAGAAUAUGAUUCUUUUAAUAAGUUACGUGCUAAGAGAUUUGGAUUCUGAAACGAGUAGUGCUCUGCAUUUGUAUCUAGAUUGUGAUGUGAAGCAUUAUUAAAACUACUAAAUAAUUGUAUUUUUAUAAAUAAAAAAUUAUGAGAACAAGUCCAAAGGGGGUUGUUAAUUAUUUUCAUGGCAAGCACGUUCAAGAAAUGGCUCCAACCAAAACCAAACAAGCAACAUAGUAUAUAUAAAACACAACUAAAAACUGAACGAACAGAGCAGAAAACAAAGAGGAGAGAACGACUUCAAAAUGGGAAAGCCAGCUGGGUAUUGGGUGAAUAAGAUUAGGACAUCCUUCAAAGGAGGAUCAUCAUCGAGCAAAUCAUCAGAAGAUGGAAGUGCUUCUGGUUCUAGAAAGAGCGAUUCAAAACAUAGGAAGAAUCAGAGAACAGAGGAAGGUAAUAAGAAUGCUGAAGCAGGAGUAGCUCAAGCUGAGAGUGGAAGGAAAGUGAUGGUUGUUGUGGACACAACUUCACAAUCAAAGAAUGCUCUUCAAUGGGCACUAACACAUUGUGUUCAAGAUGAAGACAAUAUCACUCUCCUUCAUGUCACAAAAACACCCAUAGGACAAGGUAUAUCUACAUACACGUAGUUUUAUAUACUCAUAGUUGCAUUUACUACUAGAAUCUUUAAAUUAGAGAACAAUUAUUGCAGGUCUAAAUUAGAGAAAAAGCUAAGACACGUCUGCUAUAUUUCUUAUUUAAGAGACGUCUCUUAGUUUUUUUUAGUUAAAAGUUAAAAAAACGUAUCUUAUAUUACGUUAAAAGACUCAAGGCCUGUUUGUUUCUCCAUAUGAAUGAGUCAUUUGGAUGAAGAUGAGAGUUUUGUUUGUUUAGACACUAAAAGUACAACUCAUUCAGAUGGAUCAUCCGGAUGAUUUUUGGAAAUUUAGGCUUAAUUUUAAAGUCCAUUCAGCUGAACCAAUUUGGAUCAUUUGAAUGGAGAUGGUUCAUUCAAAAUGGUAUAAUGUCUAUUAUGCCCCUAAUGUAAUUCACAAAUUACAAACCUAAAAAUAAUAUCAUUUUUGUCACAUACGAAAACUGACAAAACUAUAAAAACAUGUUUUCCCGCGAAAACCUAAAAACUAUUUUUUCACGCCAAAACCCCAAAAAAGGAAAUUUUCCGCCAAAAUAGCAAAAAUGUGUUUUUCCGUCAAAAUUGCAAAAACGUAUUUUUCCGCAAAAACCGAAAAAUGUGUUUUCAUGCCAAAAUCACAAAAAACAUGUUUUCACGCUAACACCCCAAACACACAUUUUUCCGCUAAAACACAAAAACACAUUUUCCCGCCAAAAUUGCAAAAACGUAUUUUCCCGCCAAAACCGAAAUAUCUCAUUUUCUCGCCAAAACCGAAAAAAUCUCAUUUUUCUGCAAAAACUGUAAAAAACGUAAAAACGCAUUUUCCCGUCAAAACCGCAAAAACGCGUUUUCCCGUAAAAACUGCAAAAAACGUGUUUCCCGCCAAAAUCGCAAAAACGCUUUUUUCCCGCCAAAACAGCCAAAAUGCAUUUUCCCGCCAAAAACGUGUUUUCCCGCCAAAAUCGCAAAACGCGUUUUCCCGCCAAAACAGCAAAAACGCAUUUUCCCGCCAAAAACAUGUUUUCCCGCCAAAACCGCAAAACGCGUUUUUCCGCCAAUAACGAAAAAUCUCGUUUUCUCGCCAAAACCGAAAAAUUUCAUUUUAAUGUGUUUCACUCCAAAACCGCAAAAACGCGUUUUUCCGCCAAAAAUGUAUUUUCCCGCCAAAACUGCAAAAACGUGUAUCCUCGCCAAAACCGAAAAUUUGUAUUUUCCCGCCAAAACAAAAAAAUCUUGUUUUUCCGCCAGAACGGAAAAAUCUUGUUUUUCCGCUGAAACCGAAAAAUGUGUUUUCUCGCUAAAAUCAAAAAAAAAAUUUCCGCCCAAACCGCAAAAAGAAAAUUCGUUAAUUUUGAAAUAAUUCUAAUGUAAAUAUAUUAAACUAAAUAAUUAAAUGUAAUAUAGUUAAAAUUAAUAUCAAACAUAUGAUUAUACCAACACAAUGGUAUUUUGGUAAUUUGUUUACUAAACUCAUUUGAAUGGAAAUGAAAAUAAAGAAACAAACAUAAGAUCCAUUUAGAUGAUUCAUCUAGAUGAGUCAUGUGGAUGGACAAACAAACAAUUACAAAAAUGUGAAUGGAUCAUCUGAAUAGAUCAUACAAAUGAAUCAUUUGGAUGGAGAUGACAAAUGGUGAAACAAACGGCCUCUCAAUCUAAGAGACCUACAAUAAAUCUGCUUUUAGAGCUACAUAAAAAAAAAAUAUUUUAUCAUGUGAGAGAAAUGAUUCUUUUGGGUUUUCUUUAGGCUUACUGGGUCUCAGAUUUAUUGUUGGGCUUAAAUGAAGCCUAAUGUAUGGUUAGUUUAAUCUUUUGGUCGUCUAUUUGAUUUCCGGUUUCAUAGCAAGUGUUUUCAUGUUAUUUUAGAAAGAAUAUUGUUAGUUGACCUAUAAAUGUUUCAAUUUUUGAUCAACUUUAGAAAUAAAUAUAGCAUUUUCAUGGUUAAAAUUAGUUUUAAGACUAUAAUAUAGAACAAAACGAUUUAAUUACUGUGAUGAUUUAUUAUUACAUUUAUUUUUUUCUUAAUAAUUUAUAUGAAUUUAUCAAAAAUACGUUAAAAUUGUAUGUGUAUAUGGCCACGCUGGCAAGCUUGACAUCUCUACAUUGUUGAGUCCCUCAAAUUCACAUAAUUUUUUAUUAUGUUCAUAGGUGCAGAUGAGACACAAAGGGAGAGAAACUCAAGGGCUCAUGAACAAGUUCAUCCAUUGAAGAACCUUUGUCAACUCAAGAAACCUAACGUGAGCUUUUAUUUCUGAUGACAAAUAACAGUAUUCAAAAAAACUUUGUGAGAUUAAGGUUUCUUGUUUAUAUUUUCAGGUGAAGACGGAGAUAGUGGUGGUUGAGACAGCAGAGGAGAAAGGGAAGGCAAUAGUAGAGGAAUCAAAGAAACAGGAAGCAGGAGUUUUGGUUUUAGGUCAGAGGAAAAGAACUUCGAAGUGGCGUGUGAUAUGGAAGUGGCGCACGAAAGCAGGAAUGGGUGGAGGAGUUGUUGAGUAUUGUAUUCAUAACUCAGAUUGUAUGGCUAUUGCCGUCAGGAAGAAGAGUAACAAUGGAGGUUACUUGAUCACCACGAAACGUCACAAAGACUUCUGGCUCUUGGCCUGAAUUAAGACAUCAUUCCUUAUAUUGAUCCCGAAACCUUCUUUUUUUUUCUAAAUCAGAAGAAGUCUUUUUUAAAAACAAUACAUGUUUUAUGAUUAUGAUUGAUGAUCUGUAUUCGUUAUAAGAUCUUUUAUUUUUCUCAUGUACAGACUUCAUAUCUGUUGAUGCUUUUUCUUGUGUGGAAACAGAGCCGGACCUGAGUUUUUCGGGGCCUUAUUCAAAAUAUAGAUGAACUUAUCGUAGUUUUGAUGAUAAAAAACAGCAUCGAAAAAAUUAUAGAACAAGAAGAAAAAAAGAACAGUCUAAACAUAAUUAAUCUUCAAAAUACAGUACAAUAGUUCUAAAAACACACAACAACAGUUCUACCGAUUUUGAAAAAUAACUCUUCUAGCAGUUUUUUCAGCAAAAUCAUUCAUCAAACUUUCAUAAUUGAGAUUUUGAAUUAAAGCUUUCUCGAUCGAUAACAUAGCCAAUCCGUUUAACCUUUCCUGUGACAUAGUAGAUUGUAGAUAAGACUUUAUCAACUUCAACUUAGAAAAACUUCUUUCAGCUGAAGCAACUGAAACAGGAAUGGUGAGCAUUAUCCUGUAAGCAAUCCAUAUACUCGGAUAGCUAUCCUUCAUUCUCUUCAAAUAAUCCAGCACUUCUACAUUCUUCUUGAAAGUCUUUGGCAAAACUUCUCUGAAAAUUUUGAUUUCCAUGAACAAAUCAUUCCCAUCAAUAUCAGAAUCUGCUCCAUGCUUAAGAAAAGCUUCAAGGUUAGAACAUUUACUCUUCAAAAUAUCAUCGCUUGUUGAGUUGAGCUUUCGUAGACUGAACAAAAACCCAAAAAUAUUUUCAUACUCUUUAAAUUGUUCUAACCUUGUUUGGAAAGAAACAAUAGCCUGGUCCAUCAUUUUGAAAAAAUAAUUGAUUCUGAAAUCAUCCUCCACACUUAGAACCUGACAAACAUCAUCACCUUUGUCUCGCUCUUCAUCAAAAUGAGUUUUCCUUUUAAUAAGGCGCUUGUUCCUCUUGUUAAACAUGGGUUCAAUAUCCAUAGCAAUGGCAAUUUUUGAAGCUUCAGCUUUUGCUUCUUGAAAUCCCAUUUCUCUAUACUUUUGGAAAAAAGAAACUAACCCCUUUAGCUGAGCAAUGGCAUCAUCGAUAUCAAUAUCUUCAGACUGUAGCAUCUUGCUCACAGUAUUAACAGCAAACAGAACAUCAUACCAUAUAACCAGACCAAACAAGAACUCAAACCCUCCAAUUCCAUGUGUUUCACUUAUCGCAAGACAUUCAGCAUCACUCCGUGCUCCUGGAUCCUCACUGUUUUCUGCAAAGUAAAGUAAGACAUCUCUGAUUUCUGGAGCUUUAAAACGUAUAGCCUUAACGCUUUCGAGGUGACUUUCCCAUCGCGUAUCUGAUAGCGGUUUAAGCGUGAAACCUCCCACCAUUUUUCUGUACAUCUCCCACCUAGUCGUAGAAGGUUGGAAAAAAUUAUAUAAACGCUGGAUAAUCCCAAAGAAAGACAUCGCUUUAUCAGAAGAUUUAGCAAUAUCACAAAUAGCCAAGUUCAGAUUAUGACAACCACAUGGUGUAUAAAAUGCUCUCGGAUUGAUAUCCAACAAUCUCUUCUGCACUCCUUUGUUUUUUCCUUUCAUGUUGGAUCCAUUGUCAUAACCUUGUCCCCUAACAUCAUUAAUAUCCAACUUCAAACCAACCAGUGUAUCACAUAAUAGCUCAAAAAUCCCUUUUCCUGAUUUAUCUUCAACUUCGAGAAAGGUAAGAAAAAAUUCUUCAAUCUGAACUGGACUCACUGAUAUAUCCACACAUCGAAUAAUGAGAGACAUUUGCUCUUUGUGGCUGAUAUCUGGAGUACAAUCAAGAAUAACCGAGAAGAAUUUUGCCUCUUUAAUCUUCUUAAUGAUUAUAAACUUGAUUUCAGAACUCAACAUUCCAAUCAACUCAUUCUGAAUUUUGUAGCUGAGAUAAUGGUAUCGGGUUUCUCCUUUGGUGAUUCGCCUGAUGUGCUCCCUCAUUACAGGAUCAAAUUUACCAAUCAUCUCAAUAUUCCCCAGAAAAUUUCCAUUGUUCUCUUGGCCAAUUUUGUCAUUAGAUCCCCGGAAUGCUAUAUUACUCUUAGCCAAAUACUCCACCACUGAAAAUAAUCUCAGUAAAAGCUCCCUCCAAUAAUUCUUCUCUUUUUCGAUUUCCUCUUGGACACACUUAUCAAUUGUCUGAUUCUUUUGCAGCCUCAUCUCUAGUUCCAUCCACUGGCUCAUACACAUAAUGUGAUCAUUACUGGUUUCAUGUUGGCUCAGCCUUAUUCCAGUAUUAUUCCAAUCCAGAAAUCCAAUGCCUGCUAGUUGAGUAGUUUCCUAACGGGUGAACAACUUGCAACAAAAACAAUAGAUCUUGUCGAAUGUUGUUGAAUAAACUAACCAACGCCGGUGCUGCAUAUCUCCAUUCUUCAUGAUCCUUUUGUAAUUUCUAUGUGAAAAGUGUCUACCACUUUCAUUUUUGGGGAAAAUAUAAUCUUCAGAUGGUGGUGGGAGAGGACCUUUCUCAACCAAAUAAUCUCUUAACUUCUGGUCAAUUUUUCUCCAAUUUCCAGGAUCCAUAAGAUCAAAGGCUGAAUCAUCUUCUUUAAAAUGCUCGUCCGCUGCAUUUGAGUUGACAUCUUCAUCAUCUAUCUCAGCUCUAUCCCUAUUCUCUUCUUGAUCAUGGUUUCCAUAUCCAGUUCUAACCCCAUCAACCUCAUCAUCUGGUUCAGAUCCAUCAACCUCACCAGUUUCACUACUAUCCUCACUAGUUCCAUCAACCUCAUGGUCCUCAUCAGUUCCAAGCGAUGCUGGUUUCUUAAAAUACUUUAACAGAGAACCUGACUGAGACUUCACUAGUUCUUCUACUCUUCUUUUCUUUGCUCUUUUCUUAGCUCCAGAAAGGUAUAUUCUUGAUGCACUCAUUUUUUUCUGCAGGAUGAAGAUAGAAAAUUUAAAGAUUGUAAUUCAGUUUUGACAUUAUAAAAAAUUGACUAUUAAAAACCUUCAAACCAAAACGAGUAAAUCAAUUGAAUUAGAGAUGAAUAAACAAUAUAAGAUUUGUUAAACGAAAAUAAAAUUUGAUUUUACCUAAGAAUCAAAAGACAAAAUCUCUGGUUUUCUUAUGAACUUGCUUUUAUAGAGAAGGGAAGAAGCUGAAAAGACGGUCUCGUAGCUCGUAAGUUUUCUUUGCUGAGUUAAAAUAUGAUGCUUUUUACUUAUUUAAAUUUAUUAUAAUAUUUACAAUUCUUUAAAUAAAAAAAAUGGAGAUAUCUUCAGACUUACGUGCUAAUAAUGUUCAUGACAUGUAUUUUAUUCUGUCACUAGAAACCAAAAUUUUACUUUUUAAUUUGACUUUGCACCUAAGAUUCAUAUAUUAACAUUACAUAUUUACAAAGGAAAAAAUUGGAAGUGGGGGCCCCAUGAGGUGGGGGCCCCAUACGAAUGUUUCGCGAGAUUGCGUACAAGCCCGGCCCUGUGUGGAAAGCCUCCAAAAAUAUAAAUAGUGAAUUGUAUAAUAAGAAAACAAGAAAUAUAACCAGAAGCACAUAUAUAAAAAAAUAUCAUAUUAUUGUUGUUCAAUAUGGAACACAAUUUCAAAGUUAAAAUGACACUUAAUACAAAAAGAUACAAGAUAGACAAAUAAUAAUCCACCAAUCAGAUAAACAAUUUACAUAUAUGUAAUCAAAUAAUUAAUGUGUAUGGAUAUUGUUUUGGUGGAGAGUAUUCCCUGAAUAUCUCUUAUAUAUUAAUUGGAGAACACUAGAAACAUUAUAACAUUAGUUUUCAGGACCACCCACAAUGGGGGGUGUUGAAACUCACUUUUAACAGUUUAAUCCCGUGCAGUGAGGUGUUGUACAAAUGUGUUUGUCUAUGUGGUAUCAAUAAGCGUUGGAAAGUUUCAACAGCUAAUUUUUUUUGUGUGGCCUGCACUGUCACGUGUCGUUUUGUUGUUAACCGGAAACAUUUAGAUCCCAUUGCUUUGCUCUCAUGGAUGGGCAAAUUUCUUUUGAUAUUUAUCAUCGCCCAAUAAUUCAAACAUAUUUAUUAUAUAAUAAAAUUUGUUUUUAAAAUAUAAAAAAUAUCAAAAUUCAAAAUUUUUUAAUCUAUAAACAGAGACUGCUCUCAUUUCAUUUGGAUACAGAAAAAUUAUCGAUUUUCAUUAUAAUCAACUAUUUUAGUGUUUAAAUUUCUUUUUGGUUAAAUGGAUCCUAAUAAUAAUCCUUUUAACAUCCAAAACUCUUCUAAUUUUCCGUUCAACUUCCAAAAUCCCAACAAUUAUCAAUUUCAAAACCAAAGUUCCAACCAACCCUAAAAUAUACUAAAUUAUGGUUUUCCACCAAAUUUAUUCAUGUCAUCAUCUGUUUCGAAUUAUCCUCCAAAUUAUGGAUCGAUGAUGCCAUAUUUUUCUCAAACAAUGUAGUAUUUGUGUUAUUAAAAAGUAAGCUAAGUGUAAUAAUUCAAAAUAAAUAUCAUUAAAAAUUAUGUUGUUUUAGUUUUUAAGUUAAUUAUAAUCAAAUUAUAAAUAUGUAAUUAUUAUGUUGUAAAAACAAAAUAUGAAUUAAAAGUUGUGGGGUAGGGCGUUGAAUUAUUUAAAACAAACCAUUGUAAAGGUUUAGAACGAAGUGGGUGUUGAAUAAAUUAGGUGAAAGAGAAAGAAGAUGAUAUGGAGUAUGAAAAAAAAGGUGUUGAAACCAUUGUAAAUGGUCUUAAGUUAAUUACAAAGAAACCAGCUGACGUGUUACACUAAUAGGUCUUCUCACUUUCGAAAUAUAAACACCUUCUAAUUACUAGAGUGUUUAUAUAACUAGGUGUUUUCCUACACUACACCACGUGCAGAAAUAAUUUUUUAAAAAAAUUAAAUUAUAUUUAAAAAUAAUUUUUGUUAAUUUUUAGAUUUCAUUAUUUUUUAAAAUUUUUAAUCUAAUUAUGUAAAAUUAAGAUAAAAUAAAUAUUAAAAAAUAUAUUUAAUAAUAUAUAUGUAUAUAUUUAAAAUUAUAAUCUUCGAAAGAUUUUUAAUCUAUUUCUUUUGGUUAAAUUAUAUUAAAUCAAAUUCUAUAAAAUUAAAAUUUAAAUUUUUUAGGUAUAUAACUAUUAAAACAUAAAAAAAAAUAUAUUUCUAAUCAUAUUAAAAAGAAACUAACUGUAUUGGAAUUAUAAAAUUACAAUAUUGUUACAAAAACUGAAUAAAUUUUGGAUGAAUUGUUUUAGUAAUCAAAAUUAUGUAAUUAUAAAAAUAUAAUUAAAUAAUAUUUUAAAAUAUUAUUAUAUUUCUGUUUCUAUUAUUAUCUUAUAUAUUGUUAUAUUAAUGAUAAUCUAUGAUUUAUUAUCAUAUUUUAAAAAAUUUACCUAAAAUAUAAAUCUAUAUUAAAUGUAAAUGUCAAUAUCACAAUUAGAAUGAAAUCAUGUCAUCAUUGUUAGUAUGUCAUAUCAUUAUUUUCUUUCAAAAUUAUUCUGGUGAUGACACAUGACAAAUCACCUCUUAAAUAAUGUUUAGAAAACGCCACUGAAACCUUUCAAAAUUACUAUGAUGAUGAAACAUGACAAAUCACCUCUCAAAUAAUGUUUAGGAAACGCCGCUGAAACCUUAAGCCAGCCCAAGUAUUCUUUAUAACUAUACUAGUGGUAUUCCGGUGCUACGCACCGGGUUUAUAUGUUUUAUGUUCUAAUGAGUUCAAUAUUGUUUUUCUAUCCAUUUGUUAGUGGUUAAUGAUAGUAGUAUAUUACUUUGUUUUGAAGUUAAAGUUUAAGAGAAAUAUUGUAAGUGGUUUUCUGAUCGAUUAAAUAAAAAUAGAAUAAAUGUGUUUAUUUUGUGAUUAUCUUGUUUGAAUGAAAAUAAUAAAUUAUUUUAUCCUCUUAAAAUAAUAACAAUCGUCGCAUGUUUUGUCAAUGUCAUGGAUGUGGCAAUCUAUUAGGGAUUUCAAUGUAGAUGUAUUGAUUAAUUAUUUUGUCUUUAUUUUGAAUCCAGUAACUGAUUUUUUUAAUCAUGGUCCAACAUUGAUCGGACCUGAAUUAACUAUUUUAUGAAAAUAGCUAAAUUGUCUAAGGUGUACAUUUUUGGUAUUUUGCAAAUCGUAGUUGGUAAGUCGGAUAUAGUAGCGCUGGAGAGGGGUUCAUUAAGUAUUUUGUUUAACAUUUGUUUUUUAUUUUGAAUCAUUUCAUAAUAUAUUAGGUGUGAAUCAUUAUUUCUUACUAUUCUUAUAUGAUUGUUGAGGUUGUUUUACUGGAGUAUGAUAUGUUUUUUCUUUUGGCGGUUUAGAUUUUUACAUCUACUGAUUUUAUUUUAAGUCAUAUAUUGUUAUAAAUGUUCUUAUGUAUUUUUCAUAUUAUUUUGUAUUGUGUCUUCCGUUUGGACAAUGCCAUUAAACAAUCUUAUAUAUUAAAACAGAAAUCAUGACUUCUUUUCAUGUGUGAUUUUUUUAGUUUGGACCAUUUUUAAAAAAUAUCAUAUUUUACGUAAGUUCAUUAUUAUAUCUUUUAAUAUCUUUAUCAUUUUAUUUGAAAUACAAAUGAAUAUAUUUAAAAUGUGCUAACAAAAUCUUUUUAAAAUCUUCUUAGAAUCUUUUUAAAUUUACUUUUAAAAAUUAGUUAGUUUUAAUUUAAAUUAUCAUAAAAUAUAAUUAGAAAUUAAAAUUGAAUAUAGUUUUGGUUUAUAAACGAAAAUUUAAAUGUAAUAAAAUUAAUUAAUUUCAAAAAUACAUUUACUAAUAAUUUUUAAAUAUUUUGUUAGAAAUAAAUAUUUAUUUUAAUUUUAGUUUUUUCAAAUUUGUUUUCUAAUAAAAUAAAAAUCAUGAUUUUUUGAUGAGUGAUAUUUUUAUUUGGACCAUCAUUUAAAUUUUAUAUUAAAUGUAUAUCACUAAUGCUAAUAUACAUAAUAUUUUUAACUACUUUAAUCAUAAUAUCUUUUAUAUCUUUUAAUUUUUUUUAGAAAAAAUUAAAAUUCUAGCAAAUCUCUUGAAAAAGAUUAUAAUAAGAUAUUAAUUGUCAUAAAUUGAAUAAAAAUAUUUUCAACUAAUUUUGUAAUUAGUAAUGAAAUGUUACUAAAAGAAUAAAAUUAUAUCCUAUUUUAUCAAUUUUAUAAUAAUAUCUAUCAUUUAAAAAAAUAAAAAUGUUAUAUGGAAGAAAAUAUGAUAAAAUUAUUUUAAAUUGAUAAGUUAACAUAUUUUAUUUUCAUAAAUAUAAAGUAUUUAUGCUAAAAAUAUAAUAUGUUGGUAGAACGGGUUAAUAUUAGUAAACUAUAUAAUACAUGUAUAAAAAUUUAACUUAUCUUAAACUUUUUAAUAUACAAUAAUUUAUUAUAUAAAAUUAAUAAACAUUAAAAAAAUUCUAAAAAAAUCUAGCGAUUUGAAUUACGGAUCAUAAUUAUAAUAAAUUAAAUACAAAAUUGUUUUCAUAUAUGUUGUUUCAUGCAUUAAAAAUUUUAGUUUAGUAAUCAAACGCAAUAAGACAAAUAUAUAAUAAGCAACAUAUAUAUGUGAUGAUUUUUAUUUACAGCAUGAAAACUAUAAAAUUAUUAUAUUUGGCAUAAUUAUACAAAUAUUUAAAUAUGUGAGUAACAUUAAAAAUAUAUAAUAAUUAUGUAAAACAAAUAUCUAUAUAUAAAUGUGAAAAUAUAUACCCGUACGGUUGUGCGGGUGGAAAUCUAGUUUUUAUUUUAAUAUCAAUAUUAGAUUUAUGUUCGAGGCUUUUUUGAAUUAAUGAGAUAACCUUUUUAAGAAUCAGUUUUAUUUUGUUUUAUUUUUAUAUUUUGUUCUCAUCCUAUUGUUUUUUUCUAUUUUUAGGUUAUGGUUUUGCAUCAAUAUCUUGUUAAUUUUAGUUAACAUGAGUUUAGCAAUUAAAAGAGAAAAAAUGUUAAAUUCACUCUUUUGUUUUUUAGUUGAUCUUGGUUUGAUGAAACUUGAAAAAUAAAUAUUAUGAAUGGAUUUGUAUUGAAGUUUAAAUGGUUUAAGGGGUGGCCUCUUAUUUGUUGACUGGGUGCAACAAUGGAUGUUGCAGGUUGAACAGGAACAAAUCAGUUUAUUUUGUUUUGUGCGUAAACAUUUUAGUUACAAUGAAAGUAGACUGGGUAGUAAUGUGACUGCUAACCGCCUAUGCUUGUUUCCCGCUUCAAAGAACCUGUUGAAAGAGUAAGACGCAGUGAUUAGUUCCUGUUUUCUUUGCCAACUGCAGUUAGAAAAAAACUGAGAGUUCAUAUUAACUGGCUACGACGCUACGUUAGUGAUAAGCCCAGUAAAGAAGUACAGCAAAUAAACAUGUUACGACGGUCUUAAUCAUUUCAUUGUGACCAUAAAGAAACUCGUUAUGACCUAAAUUACCAAUUUAAUUGUUUAUUAAAUUGUUAUAAAAACAUAAAUCUGAAUAUGGGCUUCAGUCUUUUCUUUUCUCCAACAUAAAAGAUGCUUUUAAAGUAAAUAAAUAAACCAAAGUUAUCAGAAAAGAAACGAAAUUGUGUUUUUAAAAAAGUUGCUAAACGACAACAUUAAUGACUCGAACUAAAAACUGCAAACGUGUAUGGACAAUUUGUUGGGCGCUCAUACUCUCCAUAGUUGUAGUGUUUAGGUGGUGCAAGCCUUCUUACAACUUGGACUCUCUCAUCAUUUGUUGUAACAUCAACGGCGGCAACAACUAAAUGACUUUGCGGAGGCUGCGGUUCUAGGAGUACUGGAGGAGCAUCGAUAAAUGAAGUAAUAUCAAACCUGUUGGUGUUAUCUUCACCAUUUCUUUUCACAACUGGGUUGGGAUCCACAGAGAGCUUAACAGAUCUUGCAUAUGGUCCCCUGGUGUGAGUUUUGUUUUAAAAUGGUUAUAUGUACCGUACAUUAAAACGUGUAUGGAGUUGACCUGGUUUGCAAAUUUAGCAACUGGUAGACGAUGGGGGGCAUGGGAGACAGUGAACGAUUGGUGCUUGGAUGUGAAGUUGAAAUGAGAUAUCUUAAGAUGGAAAGUAGAAGUCCUCCCAACAAUAUCUUUGAGGCACUCUGCUGACCUUCUCCAGCU
rnacentral:lncRNA from 1 species